rnacentral:lncRNA from 1 species
UCAUAUCUAAGCCCAAUAACAACAUAUCACGAAGAAAUCGUUGACGAUCAGUCAAAUCACGUGUUUGUCUUGUUUCUUGUCACAGCGUCUCGUUGGAAUUUCUCGUUUGCUCCGCUGUUAGCUCCAUCCGGUGGAAUCUCUGAUUAUUUAUCCUCUGUGAUCACCCCCGUAAGCUCGUCUUCUCUCUUUCGCAUUCUAUCUUCCUUCUACGAGAAUUGAAAUCCUUGCCCAUUAUAAAUUUGCAGUUGAAAUUGCAUUUAGACCAAAAUAGUGGCAUACUUUUGUCAUUUCCUAGUUUUGAAAAUGUUGAACUGCUUUGAUUAUGAAAUUUCUACAAAUUUUAUUUCUUCUCCAGUAGAAAAAAAAAAAUUAGACUUAGCAUGGACUCACAGUCGACCACAACAUGUUCCGCAAAGUGGGUCUGGGGAGGUUAGCCCUACCUGAGAUAGAGAAACCGUUUUCGAUAGACCUCGGUUCAAGAAAAAUCAGUCCAAAGCAAUCCGGAAAAAGAAGUAACGGAAGUGAAAGCAUAACAAAGCAUUCUGAAUAGUUACUAUAGCAUAACAAUAUGAUAGUAAGAGUACAAGAAACUAUAGGAGUAAUAAUAUGAGCUUUGAUAGCAUUUAUAUGUUUUGAAUUUCUGCUGUUUUGAUGAGCCACAAUAAUAAGCUCCUUUUUUUUUUUAUGUUAGAUGGUACAGAUGAGACUCAAUGAAUCUCUGAUAAUGUGUUCUAUGCUGUUGAAACUUAUAUCAAUACCAAGUGCAUAAUGCUUAGCUAAAAACGGCAGUCCCUAGCUAACUGAAUGGCGAGUAUUACACGAAAGAAUUUACAAGUGAAUGCUGGAGAGAAAUUAGAAUUCAAUAGUUUUAUCCAAAUAUCCCUAAUCGUUAAGGUUUGUCGAGGAAGGUCUUUUUUUUUUAAAAGAUUUUUGAGGCACUUAUGGCUGUUUGGUUUUGGGAAUAGGAAGCGGUUCAUGUAGUUAAGCGCAAAUAUUGUAUUGUGAAUUAUAGUAAUUCUACAGAGAGAAAAGAAUAUGGGAAGGAGUUUAGGUAGAGAGAUUCAAAACAGAAAGGGAAGGGCUUUUGACUGAUCAUCUCUUCAAAGAGGGAGGGGAGAACUGGAGCAUAGAUGGUUGUGUACAGAAAGCAGCGGGUGCAGGCACAUAACUCGAGUUAAAUUCAUUUGGAAAUAAUAUAUUCUUGCUAAGAAAAUGUGGAAAAUCCACUGUUUUCAUAAUUUUUGGUCACUAGUGCUUUAUGUGGAAGUAUUCUUAAAAAUGAGAAGCCUUUGUCAAUAUGGCUUUUGGACAUGAAUGAGUGAACUAUUGUCUUUUUUUCCUCAGGAGUGAAGGGAAAUUUUGCGGUUGACUCUCCUGGUUAAUAUAAUAUAGUGCAGAUGGCUAUUGACAGAUAAGGCUGAAUAUUAUCAGUUCGGUGCAAACCUGGCUCUUUAGCAGUGCCUUUACAAAUUUCUGCAGUGGUGUGUGUAAACUUCAGUAAUAGUAAUGUUCCCUUCCAUUUUAGCAUGACAAAGGGUGAAAACCGAACAAAUAUUGCAUGAACAUAGAGGUGAGUCAUUGGAUUCUAGACAUAGCUCCCAUUGUAUACAUUAUAUUCUGUCCCUUACAAUGCGUAACUCUGGGUCACCCCAUUUUUAUCCUUGUAAUGCCUCGAGUUAGAGACAACAGUGGUUGUGAUAACUCACUAGUUAAUAAAACAGUUGUUAAACCAUGUCUGCUACCAAGUCAAUAACAUUUCCACUUUGCGUAGUUUGCCUCCCAAUGUGUAGAGUCGCUGAAUCUCAGAAUCCAUAAGGGGCUGUAUAGGGGCCUGGCAGAGCACAAUCUGGGUAUUUUAUGUGAACGUUGUGGAAGAAGCAAAGAAAAUCUGACUUUUUUUUUAAUUCUCUUGGAUAAUUCCUAGUGUGUUAUGUUCAGUUAUUUCUCUUGGACUCUUUUAAUUCCAUUUUCUAUGGAUAGUUAUGAUUUUAAAAUAUCAUAUACUUACCAACAUGUUAAAAGGCAGCGGGCUCUCAUUGGGGCAGUAAUAUCUAAAAUCGCACCAAGGCUUUAAAAAGCUUUUGUCCUUUUGGUCUCUCAUUUGUCCCUUCUUGUUUGUAUCCCUCUACUGAGUGCUCCUUUUGUAUCGCAUUAUUUUGUUACCUAAGGAAAAUAAAUGUUAAUUUGAGCUAAUGUCUUAUUAUAGAAACUUAUAAAUUACACAAAAUGUUUAACUGUGUGAGAGAUAUGGAGUAAAGAAGAAAACGACACUAUCAAUGUUAUGAGCUAAAUAUGUGCUGUACUAAACCGUUACAUCUUCAGAAAAUAUAUCAUUGCUGUAAUUGAUUUCUCCAAGAGAAGUAUAGUUUUCUAUUAAAAAUUGUUCCAUUUAUAGGAGUGUUACCCUAAUGAUGAAUGUUUUUUUCUCCUAAAAUAUCUUUAAGAUAUUAAAAUAAUAUUUGAUAAUCCGAAAUUGAAGUUCAUAGGGCUUUUGCUUCUUCUCGUAGGGGUAGUUUGGUGUGAGGUAUAAGUCCCGGAAUAAAAUGAAUGACUAUUUUAUCCCAUGUUUGGUGUGAGGUAUUAGUUAGUACAGAGAUUAUUUAUCCCACCAUUUACACCAUAGUGACGGGAUAAGUUAUCCCAUAUACAUGUUAGGAUAACUAAUCCCGGGGUAACUUUUUUCCAACCAAACGACCCCAUAGAGUUUAUGCCCCACAAACAGAGAUAAAAUGCGUCCUGUUCUAUCUUCACAUUUUAGGAAGGGAGGGAGGGGGUGAAUUGAAUUUGAAGUAUGUUGUGAUGUGGUUAUUCUGAUAACAAUAGAUGCUGAGAACUACAAAAAAAGAAACUAUAAACUCAUGCAAAUGUUCAUGUCAUAGCUACUAAGAUAACAUAUAUUGACAUCUAAAUGCAAACCAAAAGCCUCAUGCAUUUACACAUUUGAGCUACAAAACACACUUCUGCUGGCCUAUACUUCUAUAAUCCCAUCGACAAUCCUGUUAGAUUUAUGAAAAUAGUUGCUUUAAUGUCAAAAGUCCAAGAUACUGUUGCAUAUUCUAUAACUCGAAAUACUUAGAGAAUAUAGCGUUCUUUGUUUCUUCUUGUCUGUACCAUCUCAUUCCUUUUCCUUUCCAGCCAUUGCAUCCUUAGAUUUCCUCCCUUUUCAGAAGUUAAAUCCUUUGAUAAGUCCAUUACCCUCCUCAAUUUUUACCAGUUGAUCUUCAUAUGGGAGUUCAUUAGUUCUUCCCACUAGUUCUUGUGCCUUCAAGGAUGCUCCUUCCCAAUCAAUACUAUAAGUGACUAUUAACAUUGAGAUUACACAUGCCACUUGAGCUGCUAGAAGCCCAUAACAAAGACCCAAAAAUCCUAGUUUCCAAACGAAGGCCAAAAUGAUGGCCACUGGUGUUCCCAUCAAAUAGAACGAGUAGAAGUUAAUACCUGCACCAACACCGGGCCUAGCACUUCCCCGAAGCACCCCACAACAUGUUGUUUGUGGACAAUUAGCUAGUUCACAAAGUCCAAUAAUGGGGAGAACGGUCGCUGUUAGCUCCAGUACUUCUCUAUCUUUUGUAAAGACUGUUCCCCAUGCUUCUCUCCCUAAGGUGGUGAGUAAGAAUCCAAAUGUUGAAGUCAAAAAAGCCAGCCCUAUGGCUAUCCCUGUCGCCAAGCGAGCCUUAGCUGGCCGUCCCGCUCCAAGUUCGUUCCCUACCCUGCUUGAUACUGAAGCACUUAAGGCUGAAGGCAAUGUGUACAUGAGAGAUGUGGUUUGUAUUACAAUAGCAGAUGCGGCAAGUGGAACUUCAGGCCUGUCAAGGUAGCCGGCUAGAACUGUCAUGAACUCAUACCACCACCACUCUAAGCAAACUGCUAAACAACUAGGUAUAGCAAGUUGAAGAAGUAUUAUCCAUUGCUCUCCCACAGAAAUGGAAGGAAGAAGUUUUAUAUUUUCUGGUAGGGGCUUUGACAGAGAUCCAUGUUGGUCAUAAGUAAAGAAGAUAUAGCCUAAAAGGAAGAAUAAGGUGACAAAGUCAGAGACAAAGGUUGAAAUUGCAAUUCCUUGAAUCCCGAGACGGAGAGUAAAAGUCAGGUAAACUGUGAUAGGGAAAUGCAACACUGUUGCAAGUGAAGUACACCAUAAUAGAGGCCAUGUUGUCCCUUUACACCGUAGGUAGAUGCGUAAAGGGUGAAGAAAGCUGUUAGCAAUAAGAUCUGGGACAGCAAAUCUGCAAAAUACACUUGCGACAUGUAUUAUUUGUGAGUCUUGGUGUAGCUUUAGCAUGAGAGACUCAAAAUUAAACCAUAAAAACGCAAUAGGUAUAGAUGCAGUUAAUAACAUAAAGAUUGUCCUUUGAAGGGCAAGAGACACUAUAGUUAAGUUUCUUGAUCCAAAAGCCUGACUAGAAAGUGGUUCCAUCCCCAAGGCUAGGCCAGACAAUACAGAGUAACCAGUUAUAUUGGUGAAGCCAAUGGCCAGUGCACCCCCUGCCAGUUCCAAGCUUCCCAGCCUUCCCAUGCACACAACUAAAAUCAUGUUUUUUAAGUAGGUCGCCAAGCCCAUAGCAAGUAUAGGAAAACCUCUGUCCAUUAUUUUCUUCAAUUCCUCCGUGACCUAGAAAUUAUGGUUUAAAAAGAAUGUGCUGGUCAGGGUGAUUCAUACACAUUUUCUUGUGAUUUCAAAUAUUUUAAAAGGAUUCUGCAGUUUAUACCUCUGGUAAAGUCGGGUGUGUUUUGGUCUGCUCUGCUGCCAUCUUCUUUAAGCUUCGUCCUCUUUCCUCUUGUUUGCUUGUUUUGAAGUGUUAUACAGAGAGCUUAACUCUGUAUAAAUCCUCUUUGUGCAUGCACUUCUGUAUCCAUGCGCAAAUACCACCCACUCACGUGCACUUAUGUAAGAUGUAGAGAGAGGGAGCAAUAUAUAGAGAGAGGAAGAGAGGGAAGGAGAUACUGAGAGACACUAGCUUGAGUGUCCAGGAGCAAGGAUAUUUAUAGGGGCUGCAGGUGCUGGUGGAUUUCUGAGUUACUGGUUGUUGAAAGUUUAGACCUGGAGUUGAGCUAUGUAAUGAAGCACGGUGAAUAUUAUUUACAUCGAGUAAUAAGGUGCACUCUCCUGGUCCAACUGUCGUGGUUACAGUUUGUCCUUUUCCCAAGUAUGUUAGAACAUAUCGACUUCACAGCAAACGUAGUAACAUAUCCACUUCUCCUUCUUAAAGAACUAUGCUCGAAUGUUAUGUUACUGAUAUAUUCCGGCCUGAAAAUGUUUUAGUAUUGAGCUGUAAAUAUUGUACACGUAUAUUUUGUUAAUUAGAGGUUCUUUCUUGUUAUCCUUUUACCUUUGGGUUUUAUGUAUUUCUACUUUCGCAUUGUACGUUGAACUACUCAAGGGGCUCAAACUGUAGCUUGGGUUGGGGCCUUUCGUCAUAUGCAUUCAAGGUCUGUAUUUUCAUCAUUACUUUGGGAGGAUGCCACUAAGGAGACAUUUAAAUUGACUUCUCUAAACCACUUAGGAUCAAUCUGAGUCAAAUGAUGGGAAUUUUCUAUUUAUAAUGCAUAGAAAUGAUUACUUUUCUAUUUGUAUAGGAUGUCUUAUUUAAAGCAAAUCUGAAGUUAACGGGGUAUACUCACCGUAUUCUGAUUUUCUUAUUGUGAGCUGCAACCUUGAGUUCAUUGGAGUACAAAGUGGCCUAACUAUUAUUGUUCCUUUUGAUAAUUAGAAUUAGGUAAUGCCUUUUCUCAUGCUAAUGAUGGCAUCUAAAACUAUGUUAGUGGUGGUGGUCCCAUGUUUGAGCCCUUCUCACAUGCUAGUUGGUGUUUUUAGGAUAAGCAAAAACCUUCCAGUGAUGUUUACAUCUAUGGUUAUUCUAGUGUAUCCAAAAGAUCCCAAGGCCAAACACCAUUUUAAAUUAUAGCACACCCCUUGUCCUGAAAAGUUAUUACAACUGUCUUCUUUCAAUUUCAUAUCCUAAUUGUACAUGCUUUCUGUAUCCCACCCCACUUUGGUUUCCACAUCUCCUGCGUAUAACGAAGUGUUAAUACCUACCUCCCCUUAGAUUAGUUAGUUAUUUUUGUACUCCUGUUGUGCAAGGUUGUUUUCCUCUUACACUUCGGUGUCUUUAGUUGGGGGUACAUGCUUUUGUGCACCAGUGAAUGUCUAGCUCCGUGGUUCACUAUGCAUACUUGCUUUUGUUUUUGUACCUGUCUUAUAUCUUUCAAUCCACUACUACUUUUCCCUGUACAACAGCUUACAUGAGGGACAUUCCACCUUAUGUUCAACGUCUAUCCUUUUCAAAAUCUCAUUAGUUAGUAAAGAAAGUGCAUUUGAAUAGAGGAAAAGAACAAUUUACAAGGUUCCUAUCUUUUAGGUCGAAGCUCACCGUUUCCUUUUCACUCAGGUUAUUCUCUUCAGGUCACAUAGGUGUUCUAGAAGAAACCUCCCUUGUCUCCAUGUCUCUAUGGUAAUAUUGACUGAAGGUAACUUAAGUGCAUGCUCGGUGUGAAGUUUCUUAUUUUUCCAUGUUUGGUUGGACAAAAUUUUUGGAAAACAAGUUCCUAAAAAUUGAGGAAAGUGAGUUUCUCAAUAAAGUAGGAAAAACAAGUUCUAUACGUGACAUUCGAUGUUUAUUAUAUCCCAACCACCUCUAUAGUAUUUUGCUCGCUUAUGUAUAAAUGCUCUUGAGAUAACUUUUUUUUUAAUACUUACCAAACACUAAAAAAUAAGUAAGAAACCAACUUGUUUGUCAAGAAAACAUUUUCCAUUAAAAAUAUCCACCCUCGUACCAGACACACCCUAAGUCAUUUGAAUUGAAGGUAAUGUUGUCACAUUGUGAUGAAACCAUCCAUGUGCAAUUUAGUUAAACCUCUGGCAAAUAGCUACUUAUCAAUAUUGAAUCAUUGCACUUUUCUUUAUAGUGUCAACAAAUUGCAUAUCGGGCGCCAUCAUCUUCCCUCCUAACUUCAUUAUAGAUAAGAAGAGAAUUAUCUCUCUUUUAGCAUCAAAAUAGCAUUUUCAACAGCUAGUAUUGUAUGGUUGUUUGGAGAAACCGCUACUGUCUUAGAAGGCGACUUCUGCAUUUAAGCUGCUAAAAUGUUGCACAUUUUGGUCCCAAAGUUUCAAGCAUUGUAUUAUUUGUAUCACAGAAGUCAAAAAACCGACAAUGUUUUUCAUAUUCCCCCACUCACACCUCUAUAUUUCCAUCAACUUCAUUUGUGUCCGAGACAUGGGAGAAGUUGAAAAAACCAUAGCAUUUUGAUAGGAGAUGAUGUUCAGCACUAACCACCAAAUGGGUCUUAAUGUUGCUUCUGUCUGAAAAUUUAAGCAAUAACUCUACUGUACAAACGUUUUGACAUUCGACCAAUGCCUUUGUUCCUUGUCCCACAGCUGCUUUGGUUGGCUUCUUAGUAUUCUUUCCUUUCUUCUCCCACUUUUGACCAGCAAAAACAGAACUUGUUUAUUGUUAUCUAAUCACAAUUAUUAAAUAAUAACCUAUAGUUUGUGAACGAACUGUACAUAAUUAAAGUCAAAAUUAACAGCCAAAAGAGAUUUUAUGGAUCUUAGUGUCAUAAUCCUCCCCUAGGGCCCAUAGAGCAUGAUUUUUUCCUUACUGGAUAUAGCACUAAUCUCCAGCAGAUUUUAGUCAUAAUCUCUCUAAUUAGGGUUUCAAACCGCAAGUAUGAUUGUUAUUUACAGCAAGCAACAUCUUUAGAAUAGGAAAAUCGUUAGUGGAAAGAAUCUCCUAUUAUUAGAUUGCCCACAUCAUUUGGUCUCCACAUCAUGAAGUGCUCCCAAUCCUGAAAGGCAUAUCGUUAUCAUCAAAGCUUAAAAAGAUGAAUAAAUUGACCAUUGUUCAACUUUUUCCCUGUACCAGAUUCUUGCACAUGAAAGGAAUAUCCGAACGUCUUAGGAACGCGUUCGAGAAAAUGGACUAGAUCAUGUUACCUAAUCAAAAGGUUUGACUUAAUUGUUGAAACUUUUACAUUUAUGGUGGUAACAUUAUUUUAUAUUGUCAGUGGUAUAGGAUUCUAUCUCCUCUUUAUUUUUCCUUCUCGCUUGAACGAAUUAGAAUACGUUAAUAUGUAAUGAUUAUUCACUAUUGUAACUCAAUUGGAAUUCGCAAAAUUGACAUUCAAGAAAUUGGGAUUUUAUUGAUCAAUUGGGUCUAUUACAAGAUUCUAAUACAACAAGAAAUGAACUAAGCUUCCUUGGUAGAACUUGAGGUCGAACAACAAUGGUGAUUACUUGGAGAAUAAGGAUAGAAAAGAGUGAGGAACGUGAAGAGGAAGAAGAGAGAAGAAGAAGAAAAUGGGAGGAAGGUAACUGAGUACCAGUAAUUCACUGAACUACUUUUCCUUCAGACAGAUUCUUAACUGCUAAUUAGGGUCGUUGAUCAAACCAGGCUAAUUAGGGUCGUUGAUCAAGCCAGCUGUAAUUGCGUGUGGACCGUUCGAUUUGCACCCUUGUGACUUGCAUGUGCCCUUUAUUAAUCCCAAUUCUUGCUUCAACUGUCUCCACGUGUAUUCCACUAUUGACUCCUUUCUUAGACAUUUCCAUUACUACUACUUUCCAUUUCUAAUUCAUAAGUACUUUUCCAAUUUCCUUCGUUCCAAUCCUUAAUCCCCUUUUCUUCCAUAUCCAGUCAUAUCACUACCCCCGGUAAAAAAUGACCUUGUCCUCAAGGUCGAUGAUCAGCCAUGAACUUCGAAAAUUGACCUUUAAGGAAGCCCCAAUCCUCUCAGGUGACAUCCCCGGUCCCAUGUUGGACCAUUGGACUAAGAGCUUGACACUUGCAACAUUGUUUUCACGUACUAAUCGACGUUGUAGGAUGGCAAUGGGUUGCACCAAGACCCGACCCUCAGCGUCACAAGUUGGGGGCUAUUGUUGAGGCUCAAUAGCUGGACCAACACACCUUUUGAGCUGCGAGACAUGGAAAAUAAGGUGGAUCUGCGACCCUUAAGGUAACUCCAGCUGGUAAGCAACUGACCUAAUACGUCUGAUAAUCAUAGUACUUAGCACAAAGCUUUAAAUUUAUGCGUAUAGCAACGGAAGUUUGACGACAGGGCUGUAGUUUCAAGUCGACCAGGUCUCCUACCUGUAACUCUCUAUCAGUUUGAUUCUUAUCUGCAAAGUGCUUCAUACGAUCCUGCACUUGUUGAAGGUUCUCUCUUAAAUUUUGUAGCAUGUUUUGUCGUUGGGCUAAGUUAAGACCUAAGGGCAUGUGAAGAGAGUAAGGUAAGGACCCUAAGGGCACCUGGGAGGUAAAAAUUCGUAUAGUGCCUCGAAAGGAGUAGCCUUUAGGGAGCAAUAGUGGUUGGUAUUAUACGACACUCGGCCAAUGGCAGCCACUAUUUAAGAUUAGAGAAGACUGUAGCUAGGGGUGUACAGACCAAACCACCAAGUCAAAUCGAACCGAGAAAAAAAAUCCACUUAUGAUUUGGUUUGAUUGGUUUGGCGUUAGAAAAAAAAAUCGACCAUUCUUGGUUUGGUUUGGUGUUAGCCAAAAAGAAGUCAAACCUAACCCGAAUCAAACCGACAUAAUAUAUAUAUAUAUAUAUAUAAAGUGUGAAGAUCCUUAAAAAAAUUAUUUGAACUUUUUGUCCUUCAUUAAAAGAUCAUCUUUUAGACAAAACUAUUUUUUCACUAUUUUCUUCAAUUUAUUAUUUAAUUAUUUCUAUUAUAUUAACUAGACUCCUAAAAUAUAUGGAAGGAGAAUCAAUUAAUAUUUUCCUUUGUAGUGAUCAAUUAGAAAAAUACUCCUAAAAUAGGAUAGAAAAAUACUCCUAAACUAGGAUUCUAUUAAGGAAAUACUUCUAUAAAUAUUGAGAUGCCCGUUAAACUACCAAAGAAAUCGAUAUACUUAUUGAAAAAAUAUGAUUGAUGCUCAUCUAAUCUAAUUCAGUUGCAUGUCUAGAUUGGUGGAUGCUUAAUUUUCUAACCCUCAACUUCUUCACUGUUUUUGUCAACAUAAUAGAAUUCAAAACAGUCCACAAAUCACAACAUAAUAGUACCUAGUAAUGAUACAAGACAAGCAGGAGGAACACGAAACAGUCACAAAACAGUCCAAUACACCCUCUAAAACAGUCCACAAUCACAACAAAUUGUGAACCAAAUGGAGACCUCACUCGAAUUCAACAAAUACAACAAGAAUACAAGAAACAAAGGUGUAUUUGACACCGAAAACAGCCACAAAUCGUGAAGAACAAGAUGACAACAAGAACACAAAUUUUUGGAUUCAACAAGACACAAAAACAGUCCACUACAAACAAUAACAAGAUUACAAGAAUAAAAGGAUAAAUAGUGAGAUAUAGAUUUGUUACAAGACUUAGGAACAAAAUGUGAUUCAAACGCUAAACCCCUAAUUAAUGUAACAACAACAACACACUCUUACGGUGAUCGCCAAGGGAAUCACUCACCUCAAGAUUCACUAUUUUCAAGCAAAGAACAAUAUUGGCUUUUUCAAGCCCUAACUAAGAACUAUACUAAUGUGUUGCACUCUCCAAAGAGAUAAUAAGUCUUUCAAAUGUUCAUCAUUCAUUAACUAAAGAGAAAUGACCUAAAAUAGAAUAUAUAUAGUAUAUUACAAAAGAAAGAUAAAAUGACUCCAAUGCCCUUAAUGAGGUGGGUGGCAAUGGAGUGUCAUUUAGACAAAGCUAAAUGACCAAAAUGACCUUGAGGCUAAGUGACCAAAAUGACCUUAAUAAAAGAGGCCAAAAUCGUGAACCAUCAAAUGUGGUCCAAACCCGUGAGUCCUCUAGUCUUCAAGGCUCCAAGCAAUCUUCCACACACGGGUUUGUUUGAUGGCAUGCUCAAAAUAACCCCUACAAGUAUGAUCCUGUGCCCUUCAUGGGACCAAAGCUUGAUUCUUCACGUAGUGACUUUGAAUGAUAUCAUCGAAAGCUACGGCGGUCACUUCACUUGUAUCAUCCUCCCCUUCUUGAAAAGGAUUCGACCUCGAAUCCGUACGUUGCAAAACAAGAGAAAGGACAAACAAGCACAACAUCCUCAUGGCAUAAGGGUUGGGGUUAGCACAAUAAUAAAUAUCAUCACGCCAAGGGGGUACAUACUUGAAGUAUAACCAAGAAUCCUUUAAAGUGAGUAUUAAAAACUCAAUGAAAGAUGUACAAAGGAUUUGGUUAUGGGAUACACCAAGAGUGAUACUUUUCUUGUCAUGUAGACCAAGCAACAAGUUGGGUGCACCAACAUCACUAUUUAUACAUUUGGCAUCGGGGUCAAAUGGGAAAAAUGGCCAUAAACACGGGUCUAAACAACACUCCCCUUUCCCAUGGUCUACUCCCAAACUAAACGACAUACUCUCUAUAAUAGCAUACAUAUCAUCCAAAGAAAAUAGAGAGUAGAGAAAAGUAUCACUCAAAUCGACUUCUACCAAGGUUCCCUCAUGUGUGUACUCCCUACCAGUUUCCCAAUAAUAACCAUGAGUACUCUCAACAAUAAAGCCACACAAAGUAAAAGAAGUAGCUUCCGUAACUACACAUUCCUUACCCUUAAGAGUAUUCUCAUCUUCCAAGAAAAGAUUUCCAUUUUUGGGAGGAAUGUUGUCACACCAAAGUGGGUUAGCAUAUAGGCUAUAGCUUCCAAGGCAAGUUAUAUCAUCAUUUUCACCACUAGCUUUAUUAGAAGUGUUUAAAUCAUCUUCAAAGAAGACAUUACACCUAAAGAAAGUGUGAUCUACCUCACGGACAGAUUUGGAAUAAGCAAAUUCCUCACACUCUAAAUGAUCAAUAUCAAGUUUCAAGGAUGUUCCAAACAUAAGAUUACCCCAAGAAGAGAUCUAGGGUUCACUCCCACUUUGUUGACCAACAUUUUCAAAUACUUCACUCACUUGAGUUCUAUUAAGCACAUCACACACAUACUCGGGGGGGUGGGAGGGGGGGACAAUUUUCACAAACAAGUUGAUUAACACCAAUUACAUAAAAUGAUGUACUUCCGUUCAACAUAUAGGCUUCAACACUAGGUGGACAUAAAUUGAUCUUACAAGAAGAGUCAAUUUCGUCAUCACUAGGAUCAACUAGUGUAUGUAAACUCACAAUAUGUACAUCAUCAACAAGAGGCAAGGAAUCAUUAGACUCAUAAAUAAGUAAGCUACUACUCACACUCAAUGGCUUACUAGCUACACAAUUAUCAUUCACAUGCACUAAAGUGUAAGAGUUAGCUAUUUUACCUUUAAGAUCUUGAGUAGACUCUUCCUUGUAGUGAGGUGAAGGUCCUCCACAAGCUUGGGCAACAACUUCCUUUUGGCAUUGUUCGCCUUCGCUUGCCAUGUUGGUACCUACACAAAUGUCCUUAGAAAUGGAAAGACAACCAAUGUUAGCACGGUUUGGUGACAAUCCCCUCACUUCGCUCGACAUAUCCUCUCUUUUUUCUACUCUCGAAUUACCACCUUGCACUCUCUUACUCCUCUCAAUCUUUUGUCUGUUAUCAUAAAUCGGAUUGGAAUAGGUAAGCAUUUCUCUUUGCGGUUUGGGUAGCAAGUACGUUAUGAGGCGAUUUCCCCAUUGGUCUCUUACAACAUUAGGCCAAUUUUGCACGUUAGGAACUUGAUGUCCUGCAAACCAAUCGGUACCCAAGCUCAUAUGACCGUAGGUUAAGGAAAAAACAUCGCACCACACCUCCUCAUGGUAAUCAAAUUGGGAGAAGACAACUUUUACCUUCUCGGUAACCUUGAACUCGCCCAAGUAGUAUAGAAUAAGUAAAGGCUCUCGAAAUAACCCCAAGUAGUCAACCAUGGACGCAAGAAUGUAGUUUCCAUAGUACCUAUCAUUCAACACCAUAAGACAGCCCGGUAUCCCACAAAUAGUCACCUUUUCGGAGUGUACACUCCUCCUUGGAUCAACAUUGUAAGGCACACGAAUACCUAUCGGUUUUGGAGAUGCUUGCCCUCUUCUUCUCAUGGGACAACCUCUACUAUAGCUAAUCUAACCAAUCACACCAUGUCGACCUUGAUAAAAAGUACUACAAGGUGAAGAAUAUGAUCUUUCACACUCCACAUGUAUACUCUCAUCAUAGCUCUCUUAAGUUUUGCGAAUGAAGGGGUUAUACCUAACACCAAAUGUAGGUUCAGAGAGGGAAGUAUAAGACUCCCCAUAUGCCCCAACUUCAUCAUAAGAACCAUCACGAGGUCCUACUUCAUCUCCAAAUUCACCAUAAGCACUAGGCAUAUCAUUCCCCUCAUUUUCUCCCCUAAACCUGAGACCCUCAAAUCUGCCCAAGUUUUGAUCAUGGCUAUUUUCAUAGGCCCCAUAAUCUCCCUCAACUUCGUAGCCAUAAAACCCCUUACUACAAUCAUAGUCUCCCAAGCAAAGAACAAUAUUGGCUUUUCCAAGCCCUAUACUAAGGAUAACUUUUCCAAGCCCUAACUAAGAACUAUACUAAGGUGUUGCACUCUCCAAAGAGAGAAUAAGUCUUUCAAAUGUUCAUCAUUCAUUAACUAAAGAGAAAUGACCUAAAAUAGACUAUAUAUAGUAUAUUAAAAAGAAAGAUAAAAUGACUCCAAUGCCCUUAAUAAGGUGGGUGGCAAUGGAGUGUCAUUUAAACAAGGCUAAAAGACCAAAAUGACCUUGAGUCCUCUAGUCUUCAAGGCUCCAAGCAAUCUUCCACACACGGGUUUGUUUGAUGACAUGCUCAAAAUAACCCUACAAGGAUGAUCCCGUGCCCUCGAUGGGACCAAAGCUUGAUUCUUCAUGUAGUGACUUUGAAUGAUGCCAUCAAAAGCUAAGGCGGUUAUUUCACUUGUAUUAUAGUAAGUCCUAGAAAACCCCUUAAGGAUUUGAUGGAUAUAGGUUUAGGCCAAGUCACCAUGGAAUCCACCUUAGCGGGGUCUGUACAUACCCCUUGUGCAGUGAUAAUAUGGCCCAAAUAUUCUACUUAUGAUAGUCCAAAAGAGCAUUUAGACAAUUUAGUAAAAAGCUACUCCUUUCUCAGUAUUAUAAGGACCUAGGACCUUCUUGAGAUGAAUAGUGUGCUCCAGUAGUGAAGUGUUUUACAUAGUAUGUCAUCGAAAAAUGUGAGCACAAACUUCCUCAGAUGCUCUCUAAACACAUGAUUCAUGGGACUUUGAAAUGUGGCUGGGGCAUUGGUCAACCCAAAAAGCAUGACCUUAAAUUCAUAAUGCCCUAACUCUGUCACAAAACCAGCUUUUGGAAUAUCUAAUCCUAAUAUGGUGGUACCCUGCUCUUAAGUCAGCUUUUGAGAAAAUAGUGGAUCCAUUUAACUUAUUCAUUAGAUCUUUACCAGCGGAAUAGGAAACUUAUCCUUAACAGUGGUCUUGCUAAGCUCUCUAUAGUCAACACAAAACCUCCAACUACCAUUUUUUUUCUUGACUAGCAAUACUGGUGAGCAAAAAGGAGAGUGACUUGGUUGUAUUGUAUCAUGUUUAAGCAUAUCUGCAAUAUGUUUUUCUAUUUCAUUCUUCUAAAAGUAAUUGUACCUGUACGGUCUAAUGUUGAUCGGUGGUGCAUCACUUUUCAGAGGAAUGUGGCGGUCAUGGCUUCUAUAUAGAGGCAAGGACUUGGGUUUUUCAAACACAUCUGGGAACUCAUCAAGCACCUGAUGUCACUUCUCAGGUAUGGCUUCAUUUCCCACAAUAUUAGAUGCAGUAACAGUGAACAGGUGAGCCCAUGUAGCUUGCCCCUUAUUAAGUAAAUGUCUAACUCGACUACCAGUCAUGCUCUUAAGCUCAACUUGGUUAUCCCCCCCCCCCCCCAAGGUUACCCUUUUGUCCUGAUGAGUCACUUCCACCUUAUACUCCACAAAGUCAAAAAGCAUUGGAUUGUGCUUUUUCAUCCAAUCUUCCCCCUCCCAAAAUCACAUCAUUGCCACCCAACCUUACCAACCUGAUUGCAUCAACAAAUUCCAUACCAUGUAUCUUCUACUAAAACACAGGACAGAAAUGUCUACUCAUUAAAUGACUCUCAUUUGCUACUGUAACCCUCAUGGGGGAUGCUUCACUCACUUCGCAACCAAUUUUUCUAGCAGUUUCUAUAUCCAAAAAACUAUGAGUGCUUCCUGAAUCUAGUAAAAUAGUAACUUUAUUCUCUUGUGCAUCUCCUUGUAGCCUAGUAGUAUUAGGCACUUCAGUUCCAGAUAGUGCAUUCAGGCUAAUAGCUUCUUGUAUCUCCUCCUCAGUAACUACCUCGGCAUAUGCUUUCUCAAGUGUAUCCACUAUGUCUGACAAUUUUUGUUAGUUCUCUUCCUCCACUUGAUCGAAGGAAGCAAUGAUAGUAUUCAAUUGAUUCUGCUUGCAUUGAUGAACAAAAUGGUACUCUUCCCCACAUUUGUAGCAUAAUCCCUGAGCCUUCCUCUGUUCCCACAACUUGUUGGCUUGUGAACUAGUAGAAGUAUUCACCCUCCAAGCCUGUUGGGCAUGAACCCCAUCUGAGUUUCUCUACCUCCAGAGAUUCCUUUACCCCCAAUAUGUCUAUCCCUCCUUCGUUGUACCUUCAACAGUCUAUUUUGAUGCCUAGCUUUGUCAAUAAUUUGACUAAAAGAGUAAGGGUUCAACAUUUUAACUGUGUGCCUGAUUUGCUCUUUCAACCCUUCCACAAAGAUGUCACGCCUCAAAUCCUAUUGGGGUGGAUUGGCACCCGUAAUUGAGGAGGUCCGGGAGAACCAGCUCAUAACCUUAUACUUCUCAUGCAUACCUCUAUGACAACCCGAAAUUCGAACAACAUAUUCGGACAACAUCAUGUCGCAUAUAAAAGGAAAUAAUCACCUGUAUAAGCUCGAGCACACAUAUAUAUGUAUAUACAAUACUUGGCCGUUGGAGCUAUCACGUCCAUUAACAAAAUGCCACCUUGACUGUACAUUAGGUCUACAAAGCCUCUAGACAAUACACAGAGUUUAACUAAGGUCGAGACAUACCCCGCCAUAUAACUAACUUCUAUACAAUACCAAAAGUGACUGGAUAUGACACGGAAAGCCCCGAAGCAAACUGGAGCUCACCAAAAGCAGCUGGAUAUCCUGGCUCCUUAUAUAAUACUUGGCCGUCGGGGCCACCACAUAUACAAAUAUAACGUUACUAUAUAAACUUCCAUGACUUUACCCUUCCUUAUGUCUACAAAGCCUCUAGGAUAUACAUGACAUAACUAGGGUCGGGACAAACCCCCGCCCACACGUGACUCAUGUACAAUAACAAAACAUAAGGAACCGACUCGGAAAGCUCCGAAGCAAACUGGAGCUCACCAACAAUAGCUGUAUGACCUGGCUCCUACUUGUGCGGUGUAUGAGUUGAGGUACCUGUGCCUGCAGCAUGAAAUGCAGGUCCCCCGUGAGGGACGUCAGUACGAAAUAUGUACUGAGUAUGUAAAGCUGUAAAUAAUCACAUAUGAUAUAGGAGCUCAAUAGAAAUCAGAAACAAGUGAAUAAGUCGUAAUAGGAGUGGACCACACUUACUAGAACUUGUGACAACCUGUACAUUGUAUUUAUUCAAUCACUUUACCUUCGUUCUUAUCGUCUUUGUAAUCAUUACUGUACUGUACUGUGACCAUUAGGAUGCCUCCAGUACAUAUCAACUGGGAUCGACCCAUGCUAGGCUUAUGCCCCUGGGAUACCACCCAUAAACACAUGAAAUAGGGAUCGACCCAUGCUAGGCUUAUGCCCCUGGGAUACCACCCGAUAAGAGAGAACUUUCAUCACUUAGUUCAAUUAAUCUUUGAGAUUGUUAUUUCGGUCGUCACCACAUUUUUGAUACCUUGAAACAAUGAUACAUCAAUAGGAACCAAGUAAUAGACCUUCUAUACAAUAACGAUGUAAUAAGGACUCAUUGGUACAUCAACAAUAUGUUUCAGAAUCAUCAAUAUCACAACAAUGAAAUAAGAGCCUUUUGGUAUAUCAAUGAACAUUUUGACACUUUAUAGGAUGGAAACAACUUCGUUGGUAACGUAGAACAAUACAUGUUUUUGGACAACCUCGGAAUCUUACUUGAUGGAACAUUGGUGUUUUCAUGCCAAAGAACAUUGUUAGAGUAUGCUUUACAUACCUCGUUGUAGAUUCAGAUACCAAUUCAACACAACUUCCCGCCUUUACAAAUCACUUAUCUACAAUGAAAUGUUUGGCAUCUAGUAUUAGCAACCCAACACCACAAUUCUCUUCCAUAAUUCCAUACUACCAAUAUUUGCAAAACAUUCCAAAAACCAACUUGAACAAUAGGUUUAUGUGUGUAUAUGUAUAUAAUCAUCAUCUCAAUACCACAUCAUCAAUACCACAUCAUCACCCCAAAUUCCUUCACAAUUUAACAUAAUCCAACCAUGCACAAGAAUAAUCCAACAUCAUUUCCAAUCAUCUUUCAACAACAAUCAAAUAACAUACUUCUUAUGCUCACAUGCAUAUAUAUAUAUAUAUACAUAUCCAUAUAAAUAACACCAACAUAAUUUACAUCCUUACCAAAAAAAAUGGCCCUUUUGAUUUCGAAGUCCUGUUGGCACAAAUAAGGGGUGCUUCUCGAAGCCCUUGAGACGGUGAACACAACUACGGAAUCAAUUUGGAUUUUCUACGGUUGAAUCACAAGAUAAUUGGAGUUGAACUUAGGCUAGGGUUUCUUAUUCUUCAAUGAUUUGGAUGAUAAAUGGUGGAUAUAAGGCUAAGUAUAUGUAUAUAAUGACCAAUUUUCGUCCAUGAGGUGAUGGAAAAUGACCAUAUUGCCCUUAAAAAUUUAAGUAAAUCCGAAUCUGUCCAUGGUGGACUGUUUUGAUAGGCUAAAGUAAAUCGGCCAUAACUCUUUGCUCCGAUAUCGGAUUUGGGUGAAAUUGGUAUCGUUAGAAAGAUAAUUCAAAGGUCUUUCAUUUAAUAUAAAUUAAUCCACCCAGUUCGUCCUGUACAAGUAGUUAUGAUCGUUUGAAGUUGACCCUAAAAAUCUGUUUUGAGAGGCUGAAGUAAAACGAGUAUAACUCCUUACUCAGAUGUUGGAUUUGGAUGAAACCAAUUUCAUUGGAAAGAAGACUCAAAGAUCUUUCUUUUGAUAUAUGGUAGCUCAACCAGUUCAUUAUAUUGAGGGAGUUAUGAUCGUUCAAAGUUGACCCAAAAAACUGGCAGGCCUCAGUAGUUUCCUGCACAUUUUACUGUUCACAUCCCGGCCACCGUUUUAAAGUUUCGAACGAGCUCGCUUAUAUCCGAAACUUAUCCGUUUUUGGAAAUCUUUAUAUCGUUGGAAAGCUUAUUCAAUAACCUUCGUAUGGAACCAUCGACGGGAAAAUUCCGAUAUAAAUAAAGUCGAUUCCUAUACACCUAUAAUCAAACUAUACACUUGAAACCAUCUCAAAAUAAUCAAUACUCAUACUUAAACUCAUAUAUACCUAACUUAGGAUCAAUACAUAUACUCCAACACAUAUAACAAUGACUAAUGCACGUAAUUAAGUACGGGGUGUUACAUCCUUCCCCCCUUAAGGACAUUCGUCCUCGAAUGUGAAUGUAGUUAUUUAGCCGAAACAAGUUCAAGUCCACCAUUAACAUUCACAUCAUCACAUAAAUACUAUGCAUAUAUAAACAAAAACUUACUUGUUAAUGUUCUAACUCCGUUUCUUGAACUUCCUCUUCAUCUUUGAACAAAUGAGGGUACUUAGAUUUCAUUGCUUCCUCAGCUUCCCAUGUAAUCUCUUCCCUUUGUUGAUUUCUCCAAAGUACUUUCACCGAUGCUACUUCUUUAUUUCUCAUCUUCUUAACUUGUCGAUCUAAUAUAGCAAUAGGCAUCUCCUCAUAGGUAAGAUCUGCUGUUACUUGCACAUCUUCAGUAGAAGUAAUAAGGGACGGAUCUCCGAUGCACUUUCGAAGCAUCGAUACAUGAAAUACUGGAUGCACUGAUGAUAGUUCCUGGGGUAGAUCUAAUUCAUAAGCAACUUGCCCACAUCUUCGAAUAAUUUUAUACGGGCCUAUAUAUCGUGGACUCAACUUUCCUUUCUUGCCAAAUCUCAUCACCCCUUUCAUUGGCGAUACCUUCAAAAAUACCCAAUCGCCUAACGAAAAUUCUAGCCCUCUUCUUCUACUAUCCGCAUAUGACUUGUGUCGACUUUGGGCUGUUUUCAACCGUUGCUGAAUCACCUUGACUUUUUCUAUGGCUUGAUACACAAGAUCCGGUCCGAACAUAAGAGUUUCACCCGCUUCGAACCAUCCUAUUGGUGAUCUACACUUUCUCCCAUAUAAAGCUUCAUAUGGUGCCAUUUUGAUACUUGAAUGAUAGCUAUUAUUGUAGGCAAACUCAAUAAGAGGUAAAUGAUCAUCCCAGUUGCCCUUAAAAUCUAUUACACAAGCUCGUAGCAUAUCUUCAAGUGUUUGGAUGGUACGUUCUGCUUGUCCAUCUAUUUCAGGGUGAAAAGCUGCACUCAACUUUAUUUGUGUUCCCAAACACCUCUGAAAAUACUUCCAAAAGUUUGCGGUAAAUUGGGUUCCCCGAUCUGAUAUAAUAGAGAUUGGCACUUAGUAAGCCUAUCCACAAUCACCCAUAUAGAAUCAAAUUUUCGAGCUGUACGAGGCAAACCUGUAACAAAAUCCAUGUUGAUCAUGUCCCACUUCCAAAUUGGAAGAUCUAUGCAUUGCAUAUAGCCUCCGGGUUUUUGGUGCUCAACUUUAACUCUUUGACAAUUUGGACAUUCAGCUACAAAUUCUGCAAUGCUCUUCUUCAUGUCAUUCCACCAAUACAUAUCUUUCAAAUCUUGAUACAUUUUGGUUGAUCCUGGAUGAAUGGAAUACCUUGAAAAAUGUGCCUCUGUCAUAAUCUUCUUUCUUAGCCCGUCUAUAUCCGGCACACACAAUCGGUUUUGGCACUGAAGUACUCCUUCUCGCGUAAGCUCAAAUGCCUUGGUCGCACCACUCUGAACGUUCUCCUUAAGAUGUAAUAAAAUAGGAUCUGCAUAUUGCUUCUCUUUCACUUCAGCUACUAAUGAAGAUUCCGCAGCAUUAUGUACGAUAAGCUCUUUAUUCGGAGUUUCAAGAAGGCGAACUCCCAAACUAGCUAACUGGUGAAGAUCUUUAACCAUCCCUUGCCUUUCUAUAGGCGCCAUCAUAGCCUUACGACUUAACGCAUCAGCUACCACAUUUGCUUUCCCUGGAUGGUACAAGAUAUCAACAUCAUAGUCCUUUAAUAGUUCAAGCCAUCUCCGCUGCCUUAAAUUUAGAUCCUUCUGAUUAAAAAUAUAUUGCAAGCUCUUAUGGUCAGUAUAUAUAUCAACAUGAACCCCAUAUAAGUAGUGGCGCCAUAUCUUUAAAGCAAAAAUAACUGCUGCCAACUCAAGAUCGUGUGUAGGAUAAUUUUUCUCAUGUGGCCGCAAUUGUCUAGAAGCAUAUGCUAUUACCUUACCAUGCUGCAUCAAUACACAUCCUAAACCAAUUCUGGAAGCAUCACAAUACACUGUAUACCCUUCGGUGCCUUCUGGUAGUACCAACACGGGUGUAGAAAUCAACUUGUUCUUUAAAUCUUGAAAACUCUUCUCACAGGCAUCAUUCCAUUGGAAUUUGGAUGCUUUAUGGGUUAGCUUGGUUAAGGGUGCUGAAAUGGAAGAAAAGUCUUUGACAAACCUUCUAUAAUAACCGGCCAACCCAAGAAAACUACGAAUCUCCGUAGGCGUUGUGGGCCUUGGCCAGUUCUUCACAGCUUCUAUCUUUUGAGCAUCAACCUUUAUCCCUUCACUAGAUACAAUAUGACCCAAAAAUGCCACCGACUUUAACCAAAACUCACAUUUAGAGAACUUUGCAUAAAGCUUACAAUCACGAAGAGUCUGCAAUGCCUGUCGUAAGUGAUUGGCAUGGUCCUCUUCUGAUCUAGAAUAAACUAGAAUAUCAUCUAUAAAAACUAUCACAAAUACAUCCAGGAAUGGCUUAAAAACCCUAUUCAUCAAAUCCAUAAAAGCUGCGGGUGCAUUUGUUAGCCCAAAUGACAUAACUAGAAACUCAUAAUGACCAUACCUUGUUCGGAAAGCUGUUUUGGGUAUAUCUUUUUCUUUGACCCUCACUUGGUGGUAACCUGACCUCAAAUCAAUCUUAGAAAAGCACUUGGCGCCCUGUGACUGAUCAAAUAAAUCAUCAAUUCUUGGGAGAGGAUAUUUAUUCUUAAUAGUCACCUUAUUCAAUUGCCGAUAAUCAAUAUACAUCCUCAGCGAGCCAUCUUUUUUGCGCACAAAUAACACUGGUGCUCCUCAGGGGGACAUACUAGGCCUUAUGAAUCCCUUCUCUGGCAAAUCUUUUAAUUGUUCUUUCAAUUAUCGUAAUUCUGCUGGGGCCAUUCUAUACGGAGGANNNNNNNNNNNNNNNNNNNNNNNNNNNNNNNNNNNNNNNNNNNNNNNNNNNNNNNNNNNNNNNNNNNNNNNNNNNNNNNNNNNNNNNNNNNNNNNNNNNNNNNNNNNNNNNNNNNNNNNNNNNNNNNNNNNNNNNNNNNNNNNNNNNNNNNNNNNNNNNNNNNNNNNNNNNNNNNNNNNNNNNNNNNNNNNNNNNNNNNNNNNNNNNNNNNNNNNNNNNNNNNNNNNNNNNNNNNNNNNNNNNNNNNNNNNNNNNNNNNNNNNNNNNNNNNNNNNNNNNNNNNNNNNNNNNNNNNNNNNNNNNNNNNNNNNNNNNNNNNNNNNNNNNNNNNNNNNNNNNNNNNNNNNNNNNNNNNNNNNNNNNNNNNNNNNNNNNNNNNNNNNNNNNNNNNNNNNNNNNNNNNNNNNNNNNNNNNNNNNNNNNNNNNNNNNNNNNNNNNNNNNNNNNNNNNNNNNNNNNNNNNNNNNNNNNNNNNNNNNNNNNNNNNNNNNNNNNNNNNNNNNNNNNNNNNNNNNNNNNNNNNNNNNNNNNNNNNNNNNNNNNNNNNNNNNNNNNNNNNNNNNNNNNNNNNNNNNNNNNNNNNNNNNNNNNNNNNNNNNNNNNNNNNNNNNNNNNNNNNNNNNNNNNNNNNNNNNNNNNNNNNNNNNNNNNNNNNNNNNNNNNNNNNNNNNNNNNNNNNNNNNNNNNNNNNNNNNNNNNNNNNNNNNNNNNNNNNNNNNNNNNNNNNNNNNNNNNNNNNNNNNNNNNNNNNNNNNNNNNNNNNNNNNNNNNNNNNNNNNNNNNNNNNNNNNNNNNNNNNNNNNNNNNNNNNNNNNNNNNNNNNNNNNNNNNNNNNNNNNNNNNNNNNNNNNNNNNNNNNNNNNNNNNNNNNNNNNNNNNNNNNNNNNNNNNNNNNNNNNNNNNNNNNNNNNNNNNNNNNNNNNNNNNNNNNNNNNNNNNNNNNNNNNNNNNNNNNNNNNNNNNNNNNNNNNNNNNNNNNNNNNNNNNNNNNNNNNNNNNNAUUUUUUCGUAGGUAAUUUUUUAACUUUAAAUCUAAUUCUAAUUUCUUUUCUCCAUGUUAGUCAAAGAAUCAUUUUCAAAUAGUCCGUAUAACCAUAAGUUAGCAGAUACUCUUGGUGCCUUAACAUCCUUCCAAGAGUAUUAAUAGGAACCGCUUACUCAGAAACUUCAAACUUAAAUGAUUUUUUUGUUUUGGAUCGUUCAAGUAAUUUCAAAGUUUUUCUUGAUUUUCCUAAAUAAAUUAAGCGGUGACUCUAUUGUCGAGUUAAAAAAAUUUUCUUUGAAAGUAUUUGAACUUGUGAAAAAUCUAAAAGUCAUUUCUCUGCAAAACAGAAAUAGUGACUCUGCCAGGGACUUUAACUAGGUUCCAACCAAAUAUUUGAAUUAGCUUCUGUGACUAAUGGUUGUAAUGUUUAUACCGUUUAUGUGCCUAUGUGUUUAAAGUUUGCUAAAUUAAAUUGUUGCAUUUCUUUGAAUACUUACCAUUUGAGAUAUAUAAAAUGUUUGGGGUUCCGUGGAUAUCCCGGCCCCUAUUGUUCAAUUCCAAAUGAAGUGCUGGAAAUACAAUGGUUUAUUAGCAUGUUAGGCUUCUGAUGGUUGUUCAUAUUCCCAAACCCAAGUCGUCUACUUGGGAACCUGGUCCAAACCCUCUCUAGACACUUAGGAUAGAGCAAAACCAAAAUCUUUUCUUAGGCAUGAGCCUAGGAUAACCCAAUACCCGAGAGGUAUUAGGCUUAUUAGAAAAGCUACCCCUCAUUUAUUGGCGAUGAGUCAAUUAAUGAUGAAUCAUACUUAUUUGUUAAAGAAAUAUAUGUUAUUUAUUCUAAUCCAUCAUCAUUUGGGGUAGGUGAAGUCUUACUUUUUUUCUUUCAUGUGAGGAUGCCUCAAUCAUACACCAAUUUAGAGAAGAAUUGAAGCGAUUCAAGCAAGAGGUUGUUGAUGCUAGGUGGUGUUUGAUCAAUUUGUGUGAUCUUAUGAUUGUCUAGAUUAAUGACCUAUGAGUUUAGAUAACAAUUAUACAGAAAUCACUUGAUCAUCAACAGAUGUCGAAUAUGACAAGAAGUGGACAACGCUAAUAGGACGAAGGCCAAUAGAAUAGAAUUUAGGAGCUAGUAUUUCCUAUCCACUACGCGGGACAUUGUUAUUUUUCUCAUGUUAUUACCCUUUCCCUAAAGAUUGUAUCCCUUUUGUGCAAAUUUUGUAAACAUCUAUGCCUUUUUUAACUAUGGAGUUUUUUUGGGAUAAUGGAUUGGUUUUAAAAAGCGUAUAACUCAUUCAAAUACGUUAGGCUAACCCUUGGCUCAAAAUGGUCACCUAAUUAGGAUGCCCUUUAUUACAAUAUGGUUGUGUGAUACAUCUAUCUUAUGUGUUUAUACGUGUUAUAUUUAUUCAAAUCAAAGGUAAAUUGAUCCAAUCCCAUUUUUUUAAGAGCACCUUUAAGCAGAAAUAUAUCACACAAUACAAAAGUCCAACCAAGCAUACUCCAAGUCUCCCAAGUCUCUCAAAAAAGUCCUCAAUCAUUCUUAAAACAUCCUAAAUUUUUGUUACCAUUCUAGGGAGGUUGACUUUAGACUCAGAAAAAGCCAUUAAGGAAGGACUGAAAAGAGCAAUAGGUGAAUUGCUUAAAGACGAUUGGUGACUUUAGACCAAAAAGAAGAUAUGCUAAAGGCAGAAAAUAAGAAAAUGCCUAAGAAAAAUGUUGACCAAAAGAAAGAUCACCAAAGUCAACCAAUUGAUUAAGUUCAAACUACUUAGGGACUAAUUUCUCCUUCGUGAGAUAUGUAGGUAGCCUUUUGGAUCAGCCUCUAUCUGCAAAAACUCUAUUGUCCUCCACGUUAUUAAAAAAAGAAAUAAGAUUGGAAAUAAGAAAAAUUAAACUUUAAUGAUAAAUUUCACUUAUCUGUAUCAUUGACAAAAAUCCCAUUCAUUGAAAUUCUUGAGUCAUCAUUACUCUACGGAUCAAUUAGCAUGAGAUAAGAAACAACUUUAUGUACUUACUUUCUGCCUUAUCAUCUUGCUUUGCUUAUUACUAACAGAAUCUAACACAUCAACCUUUGAGUUAUUUUUACAUUGCAGGUAUUAGAAACUACUAUGUGUUGGCAUAAAAUGACCCUACUAUAUUAUAUCAAAGUGAAUAAAGAUUCCUCUCUUGACUAUAGCUUUGUUACAGGAAAGGAAAAAUGAUUUGUAGUAAAUUUUGACUCUACCAGUCAUUUUCUCAAAACCUAAAGUAAUGGUCUAAAGGAUGGAAUAGGUAAGAAUGUAAUGCUACCAUUGAAGAAUUUUCCAAGACAACCGGGACCAUGGAAGAUAAAUUGUAGGAAACAUUGUUGAAUUGGACCUCCAUUGCACUCAUGACUCAUUAGCCAUUGGGUAAUAAUAUUUAAAACCUACCGAUGUCAUGUCGUGUCAAGGGAUAAAUGAACAAAGCAAGAUGAAUGAUGAUGAAUGUAAAGACCAUGAUAAGGAGCCGUUAGUGGAAGACAUAGUAGAAAUUGAAAAUGGAGAGAAGACCAACCUGGAAAAAGCUGAAAUAGUCAACUUGGGAAACCGCGAUGAAGUUAAGGAGAUAAGUGUUAGUGCUUACUUAAUAGAGGCCCAAAAAAGAUGACCCAUCCACUUUCUAUGGGAGUAUAUUGAUACCUUUACUUGGUCCUAUGAGCAUAUGCCGGGCUUAUGCACCAAUAUUGUGUCACAUAAGUUAUCGAUCAAUCCCAAGUUUGAUCUUGUAAAGCCAAAAAAAGUGUGGAAAUUAAAGCCAUACUUAUGCUUGAAGAUCAAAGAGGAAGUGAUGAAGAAAAUUCAAUCUAAGGUUAUGGAGGUCACAAGAAAUCCAACAUGGCUAGCCAAUACUAUUCCAGUACUAAAAAAGGAUAACAAGAUUAGAAUUUGUGUUAACUACAGUGAUUUGAAUAAAGCUAGUCCUAAGGAUAAUUUCUUGCUACCCAAUAUUCUCACCCUCAUCAAUAAAUGUAUGAAGCCCCAAGGAUACCAAAUGAGUUUGUUGGUACUUUGGCUACUAUAUCCUCCAAGACUCAACACCAAGAUUAGAGUUACAUUGAUCUUUUGGAAAAAAGAUUGAGGGAACAACCACCACAUUGUGCGUAUGUCAAAAAGGAACCUGAUGGAAAACCAUGGUACAUUGAUAUUAAAAGGUAUCUAGAAUUUGGAACUUAUCCUAAAGGGGCCAGUAAUAAUCAGAAAAUGACAAUCUGGCAAUUAGAAAAGAAUUAUUUUCCAAAUAGGGAAAUUAUUGUAAGGAGGACUCCAGGCUUAGGAUUUCUAAUAUGUGUUGUUUCCAUGGAAGCCACAAAAAAAACUAUAUGUCGGAAUCUAUGGGCCCCAUAUUAAUGAAAGUUCCCAAAAUGCCAAAUACAUGGAAAUUUGAUUUGGAUGCAUCUACAUGAGCUUUAUGCGAUGAGUUCAUCUUAGACUUUCAUAGCUUGGGGUAUGGAUGUUAUCACACCAAUAAAGCCACCACCGUUAAAUGGGCAUAGAUUCAUUUUGAUUGUUAUUCAUUACUUCACCAAGUGGGUGAAAGCUGCCUCAUAUUGAGUCAAAACCAAGAAGGUAGCCACAGAUUUUGUCAAGAACAAAUUGAUUUGCCUAUUUGGAGUGCCGAAGUCAAUCAUUACUAAUAAUGGGGCUAACUUGAAUAGUCACUUGAUGAAUGUGAUUUGUGAUCAACUCAAGAUUGUUCAUCACAACUCGACUGCAUAUUAUCCACAAAAGAAUGGAGUUGUUGAAGUCGUUAAUAAGAAUAUCAAUAAGAUUUGAAGAAAAUGGUCAAAAUGAUAGAUCAUGGAACGAGAUCUUUCGCUACAUUUUACUAAGGUAUCACACAAUAGUUCUAUCCUCAAUUGGAGUAACUCCUUAUAUACUUGUUUAUGAAAAUAAAGUUCUGAUACCUGCCGAGGUUGAAAUACCUUUCUUCAGGAUUAUUCAAGAAGUUAGAUUAAGCAAUGAAGAAUAGGUUCAUGCUCUCUAUGAACAACCCAUGAUAAUUGAUGGAAAGAGAAUGGUUGUCGUGUGUCAUGGCUAGCUCUAACAACACAAGAUGACCCAUUGCUUUAACAAGAAAGUAAGAACUCGAACAUUUAAAGUUGAGAAAUUUGUUCUCUAAUACAUAUUCCCUCACCAAGAAGAGUACUAAGAAAAGUUUGCUCCGAAUUGGAAAGGGCGAUAUAUAGUUCGAAAGGUGCUAUCUGGAGGAGCCCUGAUCCUAUCUGUGAUGGAUGGUCAAGAGUAGGCCAAACCAAUCAAUUUUGAUGCAGUAAAGAGACACUAUGCUUAAAGAUUGUCUUUCACUUUUGUUUCCUUUAUUUAUUUGUAAUCACUUCUCUGAAGGUAUUUGUUUUUAUGAUACAAAAUUACCUAAAUUCCCUUUCAUUUUAUGUACAAACUACGUUUGACCUGAAUUCCCAAAAAAGGGAUACGUAGGUGUCCUAUGUCAAUUUUGGUCAACCACUUAGGAGAAUUUAUCCUAUUUUUUAUGUAUGAACUACAUAGUGACCUGAAUUCCCAAGAAAGGGAUACGUAGGCGGACUAUGUCAUCUUCGGCCAACCCAUUAAAUUUUCUAUAUAUCCUUAGCAUAGUCCUGAACUACAUUUGUCCUGGUUCCUUCUUCAACAGGAUACGUAGGCGCCGUAACGACUUGGUCAUAUAAAUCUAGGAAAUGGAAACUGGGGUAGAAUUUUUGAGAAGGAAUCUCAAAAAUUCAUGAGAGGAAGAUCAUUAACAAACAAAGAGAACGAAGACCAACAAGGACUUUACAUCCUCUCGAGCUGAGAUCAUCUAAAAAAAAUUAAAUUGGGGAAGAAAUUUUGAGGAGGGCAUCAAAAUUUUCACCAAACACUGGAAUAUAUUUCAAAUCCCCCAGCACCAGAGGUAAAAGAAAGUUUUGGGUAUCACUAGAUGCGACCAAGUCUAGGUAUACUAAAUCUUCGGCUAAGAAAAAACUUUUUAUAGAAACCCUUAGCGAUGAUGAUGAAUCCUUUGAAUUCCUCCAUCAAACUUCGGAUACAUUAAGAACCAAGAGAAAGAUUUUUGUUGAGCUGCUACAUGACAUGACUGGCAUAGAUUUUCUAAAGCCUUUAUAGAAGUUUUGAAACUAGUUUUUAAAAUUAAGACUACUUUUGAAAAUCUAUAAAAAUAUUUUUUUCUUAGUGAUUGCCUCGGUAUCUCUUGGAAUGGGGAGCCAGGGUGGAAGUCCCAACAUGACGGUGUACCCAAAAGAUGGCGAGGAGCAAACCAAGAAUCGAAGGAGGUCAACACUGAGUAGUUACACUAAAAACUAAUCAUUUUUCUAUGGAUACAGGGAUCAAUACACAAAAAUGAGAAUCUUUUUUAAAAAUCCCCAAUUAACUUUAGAGCCACACCAAAGCAUCUAAUGCUCAAGAACGGUAUUCUUGGGCCCAAAGAUGGGUUUAAUACCUAUUUAUUGAGGAUUAUUUGAAUUGUCUAUAUCAUUUUUGAGACCAUGAAUGACCAUCAAAGGUUCCUUAUCUUCUUUAUAAAUAUUGUAUUUGGAUUUUUUAUAAAAAAUAGUCGCUAGCAAAAGUGACUUUGUGUCCACUAAAUAUUUAACUUGAGUAUAGGCACGGUUAAAGAAGGCGGUCCUACAAGACCACAAUCAAAGGAUUGCUCAAGAGAAAGAAGAGAAAAAAUGUUAUCCUCAAAUUUAGCAUGAGGCGACGCAAAUGGUACAUAAUGAAAGAAAAAAAUGCAAACAAAUGGACUUAGGUGAAGCUAUUUUCAUUGCCAAGAGGGCCAUUUCAUUUUAUUUUAUCUCUGAGAGGGCUAGUUUAUUUUAUUUCAUUUUCAAGAGGGCAAUUGCAUCUUAUUUCAUUUCCAAGAGGGCAAUUGGAUAUCAUUUUAUUACAAAGAGGACAACUAUAUUUCAUUUCAUUACCAAGAGGGCCAUUGUAUCUCAUCUCAUUGCCAAGAGAGACAUUGCAUUUUAUAUCAUCUCCAAGAGGGAUAUUUUAUCUCAGAUCAUUUUUAAGAGGGCCAUUGCCUAUCAUUUUAUUGCCAAGAGGGCCAUUUUAUCUCAUUUCAUUGCCAAGAGGGCCAUUUAAUCUCAUUUUACUACUAAGAGGGAUAUUAGAUAUCAUUUCAUUUCCAAGAAGGACAUUUUAUCUCAUUUCAUUGCUAAGAGAGACAUUGCAUCUUAUUUCAUUUUCGAAAGGGCCAUUGCAUGUCAUUUUAUUUCCAAAAGGGACUUUUUAUCUUAUUUCAUUGACAAAAGGGACAUUGCAUCUUAUUUCAUCACCAAGAGGGCCAUUUCAUAUCAUUUUAUUUCCAAAAAGGAUAUUACAUACCAUUUCAUUACCAAGAGGGCAAUUUUAUCUCAUUUUAUUGCCAAGAGGACAUUGCAUCUCAUUUCAUUGCCAAGAGGGCCAUUGCAUUUCAUAUCAUUGCUAAGAAGGCCAUUUGAUCUUAUUUUAUUUCCAAGAGGGCCAUUGCAUCUCAUUUUAUUUUCAAGAGAGCCAUUGCAUUUUAUGUCAUUGUGGAGUGGGCCAUUUUAUCUCAUUUCAUAGCCAAGAGGGUCAUUGUAUCUCAUUUCAUUACCAAGAUGAUAUUGUAUUUCAUAUUUUCACCGAAAGUGCCAUUUCAUCUCAUUUCAUUACCAAAGAGGGACAUUUCAUAUCAUUUUAUUAACAAGAGGGCCACUUUAUCUCAUUUCAUUACCAAGAGGGAUAUUACAUCUUAUUUUAUUGCCAAGAGGGCCAUUUUAUCUCAUUUAAUUUCCAAGAGGCCUAUUGCAUAUUAUUUUAUUGCCAAUAGGGCCAUUUCAUCUUAUUUCAUUGCCAAAAGAGCCAUUGCAUAUCAUUUUAUUGCCAAUAGGGUCAUUUGAUCUUAUUUCAUUGCUAAUGGGGCCAUUGCAUCUUAUUUUAUUACCAAGAGGUCCACUGCAUUUCAUAUUAUCUCUAAGAGGGCCAUUUUAUCUCAUUUUAUUUCCAAGAGGUCCGUUGCAUCUUAUUUCAUUGCAAAGAGGGCCGUUGCAUAUUAUUUAAUUUCUAAGAGGGCCAUUACAUUAAAUAUCUAUUGACACGCAAUAUAGAAAAUAUUGCCGUCAAGGAUAUCUCAGCAUAUAAUAUUCGUUGACACACGAGAUAGAAUACACCGGCAUCGAGGAUAUCUCAACAUUUAAUAUCCAUUGACAUGCGAGAUAUAAUAUAGUGGUAUGGAGGAUACCUCAAUAUUUAAUACUCAUUGAUACAUGAGAUAGAAUAUGUAAGAGUCGAGGAUAUCUUAACAUUUAAUAUUUGUGACAUGCAAGAUAGAAUACAUUGGCGUCGACGAUAUCUCAGCAUUUAAUAUCUAUUGACAUGCAAGAUAAAAUACACUGGCAUCGAGGAUACCUCAUCAUUUAAUAUCUGUUGACAUGCAAAGAUAAAAUAAUUUGGUGUCAAGCUCUCAUCAUGAAUCAACAUCUGAAUGUAUCAAGAACAUGUGAUUCGAAGGGAUAUCUUUAAGUCAUUAUCUGAAGAUGGAUGGCAUAAGAGAUUUCCUAGAAAUUGACAAUUUGAGGGUCAUCUAUAAGUCAUAUUAUUUGAAAUAGGAUAGUGUGCAAUAUUGCAAAUGAUUUGAUAUCCCAUAGGUCAUCCAUAAGACUCAUCAACAUCCUAACCAGAUAUGGUUAACCAAAAAUCGAUAGUCUAAAGGUUAUUCAUAAGCGCAACUAUAUCCUUACCGAAGAAUAUGCAAGAGCAUCAAAUUAAUAUUUCCAAGGGUUUUCUAUAAGUCAUGUCAUAUCCAAGAUUGAUUAUGCACUUGAUUACCCAAAGACUAGAAUUUUGAUAGAUAUCUAUAAGUCACAUUGUAUCCAAGGUUGGAUGAUGUGCGGGAAUACCUGAGAACUAGCAAUUAGAGGGAUAUCUAUAAGCCAUAUCUUAUCCUAGGUCGGAUAACAUACAAGAUUACCUAAAGGCUAACAAUUCAAAGGAUAUCUGUAAGUUUCCUCGUAUCCAACAUCACAUAAUGCACAAGAUUAUCCAAAGAUUAAAAAUUCAAGGAAAAUCAAUAAGUCGUAUCGAUAUAAAAGAUACAUAAAAUUUACCCGAGGUCACACGCAAAGAAUCAUUCUCAAUAACCAGAGAGGUUAUCAUUACACAUAUAACAAGAAUUAUAGGGGACUAAAAAGGUUUCCACAUCAGUAUAAGAUUACACUGUUGCAGGGACCAUUCUGCAUAAAGUGUCGUCGGUGUCCAAAAGGGUCAGCCCACUUUGUAGAGAUAUUCUAUCAACAAAUGAGAUAAUUAUGCAACAACCAAGAGAGUUGUUGUGUUUGUUAUUGCAAGUUACUUCCUUCCAAGUAGGUAUAUAAGAGGAUGACUUCACUUUCAUGGCAACAACUCACGUGGAGAUAUAGUAAAAGACUAUAUACCCCUUUCGUGAAUUAUGUUUAGCACUAAUAAUUUUUGUUUGAGACAUUAUCGAGAGCAUAUGAGAGGAUAAAAUCUCAAAUAAAAAUCACAUUUGCGGACGACUCCAGAUAGGACACAACACAACAUUAAACUCUUUCUUAGUAGCAAAGUGAGACAUAGUCUAGAGAGAAACGUCAAACACUUUGGACUCGAGCUAAAGGAUGAUCCCACCUCCAUCAAACCAUACUCCUAUUAAAAGGAAUGUGGGUAUUUUGGGAUAUUCUAGUUUCAUAUUUACCAUAGAAAUAUUUCUAAACUCAUGCUAAAGGUAACUUUCUCUUUCUUUCAAAUUUAAGUGAGAACAUAUUUAGAGUUUUGAAAACUAUGUCCAGGUAAGUUCUUUCCUAUAGAUGUGAAGAAUUCCACAUUCAUAGUUAGGAGCUUACAAUCCCUUUUUCAAUAAUUCAAUCAACUUGUCACUCCUCCCGAGCUAAAGAUCAUCUGAAAUGAAAGACUAUCUUUUAUAUCAAUUGAGUCAAACUACAUGCAGUCUGAUUCCCUGAGUCUCGGGGAUAUGUAGGUUGGUCUCCAUGUUAAAAAAUCGAUUGCAUUUCAACCUCCCCCACAGUCCUCUUAUUCCUCAACUUUUUGGUUUUACCAAAAUUUGAAAAUUGGAAUAGCUCGUGAAUUCCUUGAAAAUAGUGCUUCCAAGAUUUAUGAAUUAUAAGUGGCCUGAAUUCUCAUGACCCCUGAGAUAUAUAGCAAACCCGAUACCGGGGUUCAACCAUAACUCCACGAAAGUUAUGUGAAAGUAAACCUCUCUCAAAAAUGUAUUUGUGGUCGGACAAAAAUUAGAAACGUCAAACUUCCUUUGCCCAGGGUUACUUUUAUCCACACUACUCAAAGAGAGGGGACAGUUGUUGACACCUAAUUUUCACCCUCUACAACUAAGUUUAGUCUCAAUUUUCUUCGAUUUUCAAAUAAAUUACAAUACUUAUUUUAUCCGUAUAAAAAUCUUUUAAAAGUAUUUAUUUGAGUAAUUUUCCAUUUUAGGUAGUGAUUAUAUAUCAUCAAAAUUAUAUAAUUUUGUUACUUAAAUAUUUAUUUUAUGAAAUAUCAGACUUUAAUCAAAGCUUAUCUUGAGAAUUUAUUCAAAUGGGUAAAAUCUUGAUUUAAAUAUGAUUUGUUCUCGAAAAUAUAUUUUUUGGAGAAAUAUUUAUUUAAUUUUAUCUAAAAAAAAAAGUUUAGGAUUAAUGAAGUAUUAAUUUGUAUUGAAUUUUAAUUUAAUUUAGCCAAUCAAUUAGAUUUGACCAUAAUUGAAAUCAAAUUUUCUGUAAUUGCAAUACAAUCCGCCAAUUGAUUUUCAAUUUGGUUAAAAUUAAAUAAAAUUGACUAAAUUUUAAAUAAAAAUCCCAAAAAAUGACCUAAAUCUACCCAACCUUAUCGUUUUUCCAUUUUUAAAUUUCAAAUUUGUACUAGAUUGUACAAUUCUACCUCAACGUUGUCUUGUUUUCCAUUUGAUUUUCCAAAUUUAUACUAGAUUGUACCAUUCCAACUCAACCUUAUUCUUUUUUUAUUUUUUAAAAUUAAAAAUUUGUACUAGAUUGUACAAUUCCCUCUCAACCUUGUUCUUUUUCAAUUUUUGUAAUUCAAUUUUUGAUUUUUUCAAAUUUGUACUAGAUUGUACAAUUUCCUCUCAACCUUGUCCUUUUUUAAUUUUUGAAAUUCAAAAUUUGUACUAAAUUGUACAAUUAAACCUCAUCUUAUCUUCCAACAAACCUUUUCCUUAAUUUGUAAAUUCCCAAAACACAUCUAAUUUCUUUCUCUCUCAUUGGUGGAUGAAAAUAAUUGAAUUCUCAUCCUUUCCUGUAAAUACUACCACUAUUUUGGUAGAAAGACCAAGUCCAAAAGAAUGAAAAAAUCUUUUGAGCAUAAAGUUAAAUUUUAUUUUAGUAAAAAUUUUAAAGCGGUAGUCUAAUCUGGAUUCUUGGAAUAUUGCUUUUCGAUGUUGAUCAAGACUCUAAAAAAAGCUUAAAGUCCAAUUUCGCUACUCCGAAAAAGGUAAACACGCCUUUCCCUUUUUAGUUUGGUUAUUAUUUUCUUCUUCAUCUCUUUCUUUGUACUUUGUACUUGUAAUUUUAUUUGAUGGGAUUGUUUGCUGUAGACAACCUUGAAGGCCAUAGGAUGUCAUGGUAUCAAUAUUAUGACUAUUUUUAUGUUCAUGGUAUAAAAAUGAGUUAACAAUAUUUGAACGUAUUUCUUUGACCUUAUUCUUUAAUUAUUAUGGAUAAAGUUUCGAUCUUUGCUUAAAACGCGUACUCAUGCCUUUUUUAAAUUUAUUGUUGGCGGAUAUGUUUGAUUUUAGUAUAUAAAGUUUUCUCUUCUAUGUCGAAAAGAGUAGUUAAUAUUUAUUUUUUCGCCUUUUGUCCUUAUUCCUUGAUUAUUAUGGAUAAAGUUUCAAUCUUUGCUUAAAAACGUAUUCAUGCCUUGUUUAAAUUCAUUGUUGGCGGAUAUGUUUGUUUUUAGCAUACAAAGUUGUUUCCUUUAUGUUGAAAAGAAUAGUUAGUAUUGAUUGUUUCUCCUUUUGGCUUUAUUUAUUGAUUAUUCUGGAUAAAGUUUUGAUCUUUGCUUAAAAGACGUACUCAUGCCUUGUUUGAAUCCAUCAUUGGCGGAUAUAUUUGUUUUUAGCAUGUAAAGUUGUUUUCUUUAUGAUGAAAAAUAGUUAAUAUUAGUUGUUUCGUCCUUUUAAAAUUUGAUGGAUAAAUUUUGAUCUUUUCUUGAUUAAAAUGGAUGCUCAUGCUUUGUUUAAAUUUGUUAUUGGUGGAUAUGUUUGCUUUAAGUAUAUAAAGUUGUUUCCUUUAUGUUGAAAAUGAAUGGCUACUACUGUUAAGGUUUUUGAAAUUAUUUCUCAAUUUGAAGUAGUGAGUUACCCAUAUCUCUAAAUUUCGUGUUAUUUGUGAAAGGCAUAUGAUGGCACGUUAUGUUUGUGGCCUAGCAAUUUGCAAAAUUACCACUUAUGCUUGAGAGUACUAUUUUACCAUCUCAUCAUUUAUCUAUUAUGUGUAGAAUUUUUGAACACUUAUUAAUUCUUUUUAUUUUUCUUUUUCUCUGCAUGAAUCUGUUUUGGGCUCCAAAUGGACUCCUUUACUAUUUUAUUUCAUAAUGAGCUAAUGAGGAGAACCUCUUUGAGUCAAGUCCAAAGUUUAAAACUAAGUUCGACUAUUUGGCGUGUGGGAGCAAGAAGAUGGAAGAAGUAAGUAAAUAGGGAAAAACCCAUUGAAGAGGUCGCUAAGAGACUUGAAAAGUCUUAAUAUUUAAUAUUAUGUUAUUCUUUGUUUGUUUAUUUAUCUAUCCAUUUGUUCAUUCAUUUAGGCCUUGAAGACAAAGUUGUAAAUUAAUACAGGUGAAGGAGGUUGUAAGCCAAUAUCUUAAAGAUCUAGAUUUGGACAGGUGAGGACGGGCUAAAAUCCCAAAUGAAUAGUUCUGGCUAGGUGCAGGUGGGACAAAAGCCCAAUUAGAUUAGGACAGGGAUUUGGUCUUAUGAGCCUAAGUUUUAUAAUUUUCCCCUUUUCCUUUUUGUGCUAUUUGAUUUUAGCUUUCUUAGAACUAGUUAAAUUCCUCACUAGGUUACCACAAAAAUUAAUUUUGUGCAAAUGUUUUCAUAAUCAAUUUCUUUCCAAAAAUUAAUUUCUUUUCUCCAAGUUAGUCAAAGAAUCAUUUUGAAAUAGUCUGGAUAACCACAAGUUUAAAGACACUCUUGGUGCCUUAACAACUCUCCAAGAGUAUUAAUAGGAACCACUUACUCAGAAUCUUCAAAAUUAAAUUAUUUCUCUUUUUUGGAUCAUUGAAGUAAUUUCAAUGGUUUUCUUGAUUCCCUAAAUAAAUUAAGUGGCAACUCUAUUUUCGAGUUUAAAAAUAUUUUUGAAAGUAUUUGAACUUGUGAAAAACUCAAAAGUCAUUUCUCUGCAAAAUAUUGAACGCGGGAAAUUUACAGAGUUGAGAAUCUAGGGGGAACACAAGCCUUGUGUUCAUCUUCUAUUGUUUACAACUGAAAAACAUUCAAGAUUUUGUUACUAGUUAAUGAUAAAUCUAAAUCCCCCAAUUUACUUUCUACACUGCUCGUGUGUUGCAUCAAGUUAAGCUACUGUUCAACAUUUUUCCUAUGGGUUCGACCCUAACCUAAUGGGGUUACUAUAUUUGGCAUCGACCGCAACAAACAUUUUUUGAAGAUUAGUUUUGGGUGACAUCAAAUUUUAGCACCGUUGCUGAGGAAGAUGGUUUGAGUAGUUAAUUGAAUUGGUGAACUUCACGGGUUUUAUUUUUUAUUUUUUAUUUGGCAUACAACAGUGUAUGUUAAACUCUAGAAGAAGAGGCAAUCCCUUACUCCCUUUUGAUCUAGAGCUAGAGUGAAUUCUUCAAACACCAAGAAAAAUGUCAGGAAAAGUUCGUGAUGGGGUUUAAGAACCUCCACCCAUGGAUCCAAAUUUGGUACUCCUGUAUGAACCAAUUGAUCCAUACAAUAUUGCAGAUUUACAAAUACAACAACUAAUAGCUGCAGCUGAGGAAGAGAGAAGAGCAAUCAAAGAGGCUUGAUUAAUUGAAGAGGCUGGGUUAGCUCAACAAGGAGGACUAGUUAGCCUAUAUACACUAAGCAACAAAAGAGUGUUCAGAGAGGUAGAGCUCCAUUGAUUCCUAUAUUUCAAUAUUUAAACCCAUACAAUGAUGAAAAAGAUAUGGGUUAUGUUAAACCUACUGAUACAUUGGCCAUCAUUCCUCCGGCAUUACCCCCUAAUGUGAAGUUUGAUGUUACAAGCGCUAUGAUCCAAUUGUUGAACUUGAAGGGUGUAUUUUCGGGAUCAAUGAUUGAUGAUGCAAACAUACAUCUUGCUAAUUUUACUGGGAUCUACUCAUCAUUUACUAACCUGGGGGUGGAUCAGGAAGCUUUGAGAUUGAGGUUGUUCCUAUUUUCAUUGACUGGCAAAGCAUCACUAUGGUUGGGGGAACUUUCAAGAGGUUAAAUCACUACUUGGCAUGAGUUACGUAAAUAAUUUAUGAACAAUUUUUUUCCUUCUACAAGGAUGCUACAGUUUAAAGAUGAGAUUUAUAAUUUUGGACAAUUACCUACAAAAUCCUAUAUGAGGAAUGGUUUAGAUUCAAGAAGAAGCUGAGCAUGGUACAAAAUCACAAAACCAGAGGGUCGAAUUUGUUGGAAAUCUUAUACAGAUCACUUAAUGUCAGUUCGAGAGAAAUGGCAAAUAUAAUUUCAGGAGGUGCAUUCAUGCGUCUUCGAUGUGAUACUACCUAGGAUAUAAUGGAUGAUAGUUUAAUGAAUAAUAGAGGUUGGUAUCUGUUAUGCCCAAGCAACACGCAAGUGCACGUGGUAUUACCAAGUAAUAUAAUGGACUUAAAUAAAGCCGAAUAUCAAUACCUUAGAGACUUGUAUCAACAAAUAUCUAAUUCAAGUUCAACUAUUGCGAUUAAAGUGGUGCAUUGUAACCAAAAGAGUUUUGAAAGUUUGUAAACUAAAAGUAAAGUAAAAUAAUUUUCAGAAAAGUAAAGACUGUGGAGAAUGGAUGAAAACCCAAGGUAAGACAAUGUGAAAAAUCAUACUAUGCUAAUGAACUUCAUUUGUAAGAUAACUUAUUUUGGUUGUUAAUUCGUAUAGUUUAUCGAAUGAUCAGGGUCUCCCGACCUCUAACCUUUUACAUAGCUAGACAUUACAACUAUAUAACAAAGCAGAGAUGAAAUAAUACAUUUAGAUUAAUUUAUAUAUCAUCCUACAUAUGAACCAAGAAAGUCUUAUAGUUAUAUCCCUAUCCUAGAUACUAAUUCAAAUUCCUUAUUUCAUAAAAGAAUAAGAACCUUAUUCUAUUCAUCCCCACGUUCUAUCUUCUAUUCCUCUCCCGAGUUCACAAGGUCAAUAAUAUAUGCAUUCUAAGGGUUGAAAAUGCUUUAAAUAGUGAUAAAAAGGAUAAAAAACAACCAAAUAUGAUAAUUUAUACAAGAAAACUCAAUUCAAAUAUAAAGUAAACAUGUUUUGGGCCUUAACCCCGGAAAGGGGGCGUUGAGCCACUAAUGGACAUAGUCAUAAUCAAGAUGAAUAAAAACAUAAUUAAAUCCAUUAAAAAUAUAAAUCAAAUAAAUAAAAACCCUGAUUUAAGUGUUUUCCAGUCCCUCUCAAAUUUUCAAAGUCGUCCAAGGUGUAUAACAUCAAGUACAAGUGUCCUAUUUAUAGGAGGACAAAACUGCCGAUUUUUGUAUUAGGACGCUUUGCGGGGUUAAUUUACUACGUCUAUCUGUGCACCAUGAACUUAUCAUGGAUAUCCACUGCUUUUGUUCCAUUAUGAAGCUCAUUUUAUGUAAAAUUCCAUUUGGCCCUCGCUUUGGUCCAUGACACUCCCUUGACAUCCAAGGUGUCCAAUCACAUUAAGUUGUGUCUUGUGCUUUCGUUGAUCCAUUCCAAGCCUUUUUUUGUUGUUUCCACUUGAUUUGAAAAUUAUAUUUAAUUAAUAUAUCAUCUUACUAGUUGAUUUAGUCAUUCUUGACUAUAAGUUAUACUUUCAAAUCUCUAACAUCUUGGACAAACCCUUCCUAGCAACGGGUAGGGCAUUUGAUGAUAUAGAAUUAGGACAGAUAAAAUUUAAGCUUAAUGAUGAGCAACUGAUCUUUAAUAUGUAUGAGUCAAUGUAGUAUCCUGAUGAUAUGCGUGUGGUGUCUAUGAUAGACACUAAUGAUAAUGAUGUUGAGACAGUGACUAAGCCCAUUAAACAGAGUCUUGGGGUUGAGGCAUUGACAACUAUAAUCAUGAACUUCGAUAGUGAUAGCAUUGAUGAAUAUGAUGAGGUAGUGAGUGCAUUGCAUGGUAUAGGUUCUUACACUUAUGCCUCAAAGAAGCUUGAUCUGGAUUUCAAGAAUAGAACCACUUCUCUGGCUCGACCAUCUAUUAAAAAGUUAUUGAUCUCAAAAUUGAAGUCCCUCCCCUCUCACUUGGAAUAUGCAUUCUUAGGAGCUGACAAUACCUUGUUGGUGAUUAUUUUAGUUGGGUCAGUGAGUACAGAGGUAGAGGUAUUAUUAUCAAUGUUGUAGAGAUUCAAGAGGGUUAUUGGAUAGACCAUUAUAUAUAUAUAUUGUGGAGAUUCGACCUGGAAUUUUUACCUACAAGAAACAUCUUAAGGCAGAUAGUAUUCCCAGUAUUGAACACCAACAAAUAUUGAAUCCUCCAGUGCAGUACGUUGUGAAUAAAUAAAUUAUCAAGUGGUUAGAUGUUGGAGUGGUUUACCCCAUUAUUGAUAAUAAGUAGGUUAGCCUUAUCCAAUGCAUUCAAAAAAAGGGUGGAAUUACAAUAGUGCCCAAUGAGAAGAAUGAACUUGUCCCCAUGAGGCCAGUUGCAUGAUAGAGAGUAUGUAUGAACUAUAAAAACCUAAAUACAUGGAGUUAGAAGGGCCAUUUUCCUAUACCAUUUAUGGAUCAGAUGCUAGGCAGGUUAGCAGCCAGGGGUUGGUAUUGUUUUCUUGAUAAGUAUUUAGGAUGGAAUCAAAUUUCUAUUGCUCUAGUAGACAAAGAAAAGAUGACCAUUACUUGCCACCAUCGGACUUUUGCUUUGAAAAGGAUGCUAUACAGUUUAUGCAAUGAUCCAAGAACUUUUUGGAGAUGUAUGAUGUCAAUAUUCUUUGAUAUGGUAGAAGAUACUAUUGAGGUGUUCAUGGAUGAAUUUUCAUUGUUUGGAGUUUCUUUUAAUGACUAUUUGGCCAAUUUGGACAAUGCUAUCCAUAGAUGCGACGAAUGCAACUUUGUGUUUAAUUGGGAGAAGUGCCAUUUCAUGGUAAAAGAAGGUAUUUUACACAGACACAAGAUCUUAAAAAGGGUCAUUAAGGUAGAUAAAGAAAAAUUAAAGUGAUUGAAAAUUUGCCUCCACCAGUCUCGAUGAAAGGUAUUCAAAGUUUUUGGGUCAUGCAGGUUUUUACUGGCAUUUCAUCAAGGAUUUCUCACAUAUCUCACAUCCUCUAUGAAUACUUCUUGAGAAAGAGGUGAAAUUUAUAUUUGAGGAUGCAUGCCUUAAGGAAUUUGAGUGCCUAAAGGAGCGAUUAGUGAGAACCCUUAUCAUUAUAUCUCCAGAAUGGUGUGUACCUUUUAAGGUCAUAUGUGAUGCAGGUAGAGUGGUUUUAGGUGUUGUUCUAGUCACCAGAGAGAACAUCCUACACCUAAUAUACUGUAAAAGCUAGGAACUAAACCCAUACAAAAGAACUAUAUGGUUACUGAGCAGGAGUUGCUUGCGAUGGUUUUUUUCUUAGAGAAAUUUUGAUCUUAUUUGAUUGGGACCAAAGUCAUUACUCAUACAGACCAUGCAGUGUUAAGAUACCUAACGUCAAAAAAAUAUGCAAAGCCGAGAUUGAUUUGUUGGGUUCUCUUAAAGCAAGAAUUUGACUUUGAGGGUGAAAAUUCAAAAAGGCACUAAAAAUCAACUUACAAAUCACUUGUCUAGGCUUCAAGAGGAGGCAAUGCAGAAACUUGGGGAUGAGCUUGACAUAUAUGAUACUUUUCUUAAUGGUCGGGUCGUAGCGAUAGACUUAAUCUCGUCCUUUUCUAAUUUUGCCAUCUAUUUUGCAGGUCACGCUAUUCCAGAAGAUUUAUCCUUCUAGCAGCGCAAGCGGUUUAUGCAUAAAGUGAGGAAGUUCUUCUAGGAUGCCUUAUUUUUUCUAAAUUUGUGCAGGUGGGGUGAUUCGUAGAUGUAUUCCUGAGGUGGCGAUGAUGAUCAUCCUUAAGGAUUGUAAUUUAUCACCAGUUAGGCUCCAUCAUGGUGUAACCAGCAUAACCAAUAAAAUUCUACAAUGUGGGUACUAUUGGCCUAUGAUCUUCAAGGAUGUGUAUGAUUAUGCAUAAGCCUGUGAUCAAUGUCAGCAUCAAGGAAAUAUUUCAUGAUACCAUGAACUCGCUAUUACACCUACUUGGAGUUGGAGUUGUUUGAUGUGUAGAUAAUUGACUUCUUAGGUUCAUUCGUGGGCUCUUAUAGAAUGUUGUAUAUUUUGGUAGCACUUGACUAUGUUUGAAAAUAGGUGGAGGUGGUAGAGCUUCCAAACAAUGAAGGUAGAAGUGUCAUCGCCUUUUUGAAGAAAAAUAUCUUUUCUCGAAUCGGCACUCCUUGUGAGAUAAAUAGUGAUGGUGGGUCUCACUUUUGCAACUAGCUGCUUAAGUUUUUUCCUGAAAAAUAUAACGUGAAGUAUAUGGUGACGACACCUUAUAAUUCUCAUACGAAUGGGUAGGUUGAGGUCUCUAAUAAAGAGAUCAAGUCAAUAUUAGUAAAAAAAAUGAAUGCCAAUAGGAUUGACUGGUUAAGAAAGCUUGAUGAUGGUUUUUGGGCCUACCGAACAACUUCCAAGACCCCUAUAAGUGCCUCCCCAUAUCAUCUUGUAUAUGGCAAAGCAUUUCACUUGUUGGUUAAACUUGAGCAUAAGGCACUAUGGGCAUUAAAAAGGGUAAAUUUUAAGUGGCAUAAGGCAACUACAUUGAGGUUGAACAUGGUGAGCGAGUUGGAUGAAUUCUGACUCCAUGCUUAUGAUAGUUCUACUAUAUAAAAAGAAAGGACGAAGAUGUACCAUGACAAAAAAAUUAAGAAAAUAGUGUUUGAGCCUAGUGAUCGAUCUUGUUGUAUAAUUCAAGACUUUGCUUAUUUCCUAGAAAGUUGAAGUCUAGGUGGUAUAGACCAUUCAAAGUGGUUUUGUUGUUCCCAGAUGGAACUAUUGAGAUGGAGCAUAAUGGUGAAGCAUCGUUCAAAGUAAAUGGGAAAUGGGAGAAUCACUACAUAGUAAACCCUGGGGAAGUGGUUGAUAUUAUUGACCUUUUUCAACUUUGAGUAACCAAGUCAAUUGCAGUGUGUCGUGACAUUAAAUCAGGCGCUGUAUGGGAGGAAACCCAUGAGGCUGGUUGGAUAAGUCUAAGUAUCAAAACUAGCCACUUCAUGCCAUGACAUUAAAUAAAAUUCUCCAUAGGAGGAAAAUUAUGUUUUGUACUUUCUUGAUUAUAGGGUAUCUUAUGUGUUCAGUGUGUAGGGCUUGAGAUUAUAGAAAAAUAUCAGAAAACUUUUGUAGGUGCUAGGCCUUAUGACUUACUUUAGAAGUUGCGACCAGUCUUCAUGACUCGUCAUCUAAGUUGUAGGUAAAUGGAUCUCCGAAAUAUCUCAGGUAUUUGGAAUCAUCACAACUUUCAGAACGAGUCAUGGUGACUACAACUUGUAACCUUGAGUCAUGAUGACUGGAGACUCAGGUAAAGUUUAAGUCAUUACGGGGGAAGUCUAUGAUUUGUAACCUGGGGUUAUGAGUCAUAUUAGUGACUCGUUAACACGCCCUACAUCGUGGGCCUAGUAGGUCGACUCGACCUGAUCCAUAUGAUUUAAAUAAGGAAAUUCAAUUUAAAUGAUUGAUAUUACCAAUUUUGAAAAUAGAGACUCCCUCUAUUCUUAUUAACCACUCUGUAAAUGCCUAAAUAAACUCCCAAAGUCAUCCUAAUAAUCAAAGCUUAAGAUUUUCAAGCACCCAAAUAAAGUUUUCUCUCAAAGAACUAGGGUUCAAGUUACAAAAGUUUUCUUUUCAAGGAUCCAAAUAACUAAGUCAAGUAAGUUUAUGGUUCAAUUGUUUAUUGCUUAAGUUGAUGGUAAAUAUGCUCAAGACUAACUCGGAUUCCUUUAUAUGUUGUAUGUGCUUAAAGAUCAAACCCAAGUGUUUUUGAAAAUAGAAAAAUAUAUUGGGUAUAGCUUAAAAUUUUAUGCCUAAAAAUGUAAUGUUAGGAUGUACUAGGAGUAGUAUGAAUUUACCAUUAUCAUAAGAAUACAUAUUAUUGUUUUAGGAAUAUGAAAUAGGAAUCCAACCCUUUGAACACCCAUGUCUCAAUGGUCAUGGGGCUCAUAACAGCUCGUAGGGUAACCUAACAAGUCAUUACGUAACUCAUAACCACUGGAAACAUGGAUGCUAAAGGGGUUUGAGAUUCUUCUUACAUUAAGACUAAUGUCACGAGUCAUAGUCACACUAUACACCUCAUAGCGAGGAUUCGUAAUAAUUGGAAAAGGUAAAACAUAAAGGGAAUAGUUUUGGUAGGAAAAAAAGUGUUGGUAAAGAGUUGUUGUCUAACAUAAUGACUCAUUAGGAGGAAUUUUUAGAUGACCAGUGACCAUUCUUGAUGCACAAUCUUAGCUUAUGAGUCUUAUGAUGACUUGUAACCAGAGGUCAUGACUCGUACCUUGAGUGGUAGGGAGCCCAGUCCCUAAAAUAGUGAUACUAAUUUUUCUUUAUUUUCUUAUAACUUACUAACAGGUAUGUUUCAAUAGGUACUAAUGUCUCCAAAAGUGGACUCAAUAAAGAAACAAACCCCAAAAAAGCAAAACUCAAAGAAAACUGCCCCGUAAUCCACUCAUAAACAUAAAAAUAAGGACACCAUUAAGUUAAGCGGUUAAGUCGAGGAAUAUCCAUUGGUGGGGUAGGCAAAGACAUGGAAUCAGUUUCCUUGAUGCACCAAAUAAACCUCGAAAGAUGUCACACCACACAGGACUAAGUCUAGGAGGAAAAAUCAUAGCAUAUCACUACCCUACUCACCGUCCCAGUUUUAGGAGGAGGGUGAAAAUAAUAAUGAUAUUAAAGGUAAUGAUGAUGAUGAGAGGGAAUACUACUUUGAGGAGCAAAAUUCUAAGGAUAAUGUUGAGGGUAAUUACAGGUCCAAAUCUAAAGAUGAGGGUGAGUGUGAAGAGACUGCUACCCUAAUCAAAAUUCAGCCACCAUCACCACAUCCUACUCCACUAUCCAUCGAACUUUCUCUGGUGCCCAUCAUUGAAUGGAGGGGAUCCCCAAGAAUAUAGGUCUUAUAUAAAAAUGGUAAUGCAAUGAACCCUUUCAUGGGAAAUCCAUAAAGAAGGAUUUAUUUAGAGAGAGAGUUGGGUACCAUAAGCAUAUCUUAGAUGCCUAAUUUUGAUACCCGAUUCAAACACAACCACUUUGAGUGGAUGAACACAAAACUUGGCCAGUUUAGUUUUGCAUUAGUACAUGAGUUUUAUGUAGCGUAUUAGAUGGAUAUCAAGAGGAUAUAUCCAUAGGUGUAACUAUGAAAGGGUGGUGACCCAUUGAAAGAUGUGAUGAUCAGAGGUGUUCAGGUAAGCAUCUCCACCUAGAGCAUUUCCCAAGUGUUACAUAGGCCAGACUUCCUACCACCAGCAAAUACGUCAGAUAUUAAUUUUUCCAAGGUUGAAAUGCAAAAAUUUAAGAGGAAGAAAAUUUACACUGAGGACAAGUAUAUUCACUUCCUGUGGAUGGUCGGGCUAAUUACAACGGAAGGAGAAAAGGUUACUUGGGUAGUUGGAGGAGCAGGCCCAAGUUCACAGCAUGAAGGGUAGCCUAAAUUUUUUGGCUAAGGCAUGAUGGAUGCUAGUACGUCACAAGGUCCCACUUAUGGGGAUAAUGUACUCAGUCUAGACCGCACGACCUUGAUAGCUCGAAUUAUGGUAGGCUGUGAUAUUUAUAUAGCUUAGUUGAUUGGUUGGGAGAUUCUUCCAUCAUAGUCCUGGGAUUCCCAUGCUUACUAAUGCAGAUAAGGGAGUGCUAGAGAUUUCAGACAUUUAUCAGUUCAUCCAACCAUGGAGAAUUAUAGACUUGGGUUUGAUUCAAAAUGAGUCUAACCCUAUAUCCAAGGUAGCUAAGAUAGGGGCUACCAUGAUUAUAGAUACAUUUGUGGUCGGAGGGAACAAGUUGAUACUAUAGGGUUCACUGACAUAGGUGAGACCCUUAUUAAGACUGCCCAGUCUGAACCUCAAACAUCCAUGGAUGCAGUAUGCACUUAAAAAAACCCAACUCCACCACCUACUAUGGCACCACAACUAUUUACUUCAUAGACGGCCUUUGCCAGUUAUGCAUUAGUGUUGCAUUCAUUCCUGGUUGAGGUGAAAAAGAGAUUGUACAUUAUUGAGGUGAAAGUAAAAUUUAUUGAACGAGUUAAGCCAUGGGUGGACACACGAAUUUGAGAUGAGAUGCAGAGCAUGAAAACCAAGUUUAGUAGGUUUGAGAAGCUGACCGUCCGGAGGCUAGAGAGUAUACAAUCCCUAAAUUUUGUAGUGUAUGGGUUGACUUGGCUGAGCUCCAGAAGGAGAUUGAAGAUCUACAUGCUAGAACAUUCCUUUUCAUUAUUAUUAUGGAAGAGGUUAUUGAUGAAGAGGUUUCCAAGAUAUGGGAAGUUGAUAUAUAAAAAGAUAUGGCUGAUGUUGAUGGUGAUAGAGGAAGGAAGAGGAAAAAAAGAAAGAAAAUUAAGAGGGAGAAGAUUGAUGAUGUGAAAGAAGCUAGCAUAUAGGAUCAACUGGGUUGAUAGACUAGGGUCUAUAAGGUUGUAUAGGAGAUGGUACUUCUCAUGUUUCUUAUACUGCUAAUCUUAGCUGUCAUAUCGAUCUACCACUAGAUCCAUAAUGAAGUGCAUCGGUCACAAUCGAUGCCACUAUUGAUAAGAGCAUCUCAACUACUGCUGGGACUAUUGAUGUUGAAAGUAGGGCACAUCUUGAGUCCCCCCACAGUGAUAAUGUCUGAGAUGCGCCUAGUACUCUCAGGUAUAUUCUCUCCCCUUGUUUUUAAUUUACAUAUGGACUCCAGAUAGUGCAUAUGUAUUUAGUUUGGGGUGGGCGUGUACUAUAUAGCCAUCGUGGGUUGUUACCUUGAUUCUUUUCCUGUCGACUGUGAUUUGAAUGUUAAACUGGCAUGUCUAUUUUAAAAAUGUGUUGUGAUGUGUUUUUUUUUUGUAAUGUUUUGUGUUUGUGUUUAGUUAGGAUGAAAAUUUAUAACAAAGGUAGUUGAUCGAUUGUUUGUGUGAUUAUGCUGAAUCUAUUUGUGAAAAUAAGACCCCUCCAAAAAAUUCUAGAUAUAAUUUUGUGAUGUGUGUAUGUGUAUGACCGUUGUGAAUCUAGUAAUGUCAUCAGGAUUAGGAACAUAAUAAUUAUGGCGACCAAUUACAUAAACUGAGUAGAUAGUAACUGGCAGUGUGACCCUAUACCAUGUGUUUGUGAGACAUUACCUAGUUACCUCUGUGUAUGGAUUUCAGAACAUGCUCCAUUAGUAUUGUGUAGGUUGUAGGAUAGUUGGUUAGGAAAGACCAUAGGACAUUCUUGAAAAUGGUCUAACUUAGCCUAAAUAACAAACCAAAUGUAAUAAGAAUCCCUUGAAUUGCUAUUUUGAGCCGUAAUAGACCUAAUUUUUUGUUUACACAAACUCGCCUUUCCGUUUCGAUUGGAAUGAACUUGGUUUGGCCCUCAUCCUCCUUGGGCAUUGUGCACCUCAACUCAGGUAAAUCUCCUAAGUUGAGUGUGGCUAUCAUAGGGGUUUACUAGUAGAAAUGGGUAUGUAUAAGGGGUGUGAAUAGAAAAAAAAAGUAGGGUUAGGUGUGGUUGAAAAAAAAAGUAAAAAAAGAAACAAAAAAAUUCAAAAUAAGAAAAAGAAAAAAAUAAAAUAUACCAUACCUAGCCUAAAUAAGUAGAAAAAGAAUAAAUAGGGAGAAAUAAGGUCAGAUUGGAAAAAGAGUUUGUUAAAUGAGUAGAACCCAAAGUAAUUGUAGUGCCUAGGAGGCUAAGUCAUUAAAAAUUCCCAAAUAUAUCAUACCAACCCAUAGGACCAUAGGACAUUCUUGAAAAUGGUCUAACUUAGCCUAAAUAACAAACCAAAUGUAAUAAGAAUCCCUUGAAUUGCUAUUUUGAGCCGUAAUAGACCUAAUUUUUUGUUUACACAAACUCGCCUUUCCGUUUCGAUUGGAAUGAACUUGGUUUGGCCCUCAUCCUCCUUGGGCAUUGUGCACCUCAACUCAGGUAAAUCUCCUAAGUUGAGUGUGGCUAUCAUAGGGGUUUACUAGUAGAAAUGGGUAUGUAUAAGGGGUGUGAAUAGAAAAAAAAAGUAGGGUUAGGUGUGGUUGAAAAAAAAAGUAAAAAAAGAAACAAAAAAAUUCAAAAUAAGAAAAAGAAAAAAAUAAAAUAUACCAUACCUAGCCUAAAUAAGUAGAAAAAGAAUAAAUAGGGAGAAAUAAGGUCAGAUUGGAAAAAGAGUUUGUUAAAUGAGUAGAACCCAAAGUAAUUGUAGUGCCUAGGAGGCUAAGUCAUUAAAAAUUCCCAAAUAUAUCAUACCAACCCAUAAUCCUACAUUACAAUAAAAAUAAAGUCCUAUAUUUAUCCCAACCAGACCGUUCGAAAGCUGAGGUAAAGGAAUUAAGGCAAACCUAUAGCAUUUUGCGCAAAAUAUUGGAAUUUCUUUAUGAGGGAGAGCAUCUCUUGACCGUCCUGGCAUUAAUAUGUUGAUCUAGUUGAGCGAUUGGGACUUCUUUUAUUGUGAGAUGCAUGGUUACAUUGUUAGAUUACUUAUCUGUUUGGGUAGUGUAACUAGUUUAUCCACGGUUGUUUAUUGGUAAUGUGAUGACAUCACUUGAUUACCUUGUUUCAUGUGGUUGUACUACCUUAGUAUACACAGUUGGGUUUAUAAAAGUUCAAUCUAAGUGGGGGUAAUGUGUUUUGAGCCAAAAUUGAUAAUUAACUACCAAAAGGUAGCAUAGGAUCUUUCUGGUUAAGCAUCGUGUUUGUUUUUAUUUUGUGUUGUUGCCUGAGGACACGUAAAUGUUCUAAGUUAAGGGUGUUGAUAUGACAUGGUUUCAUGACUCAUUAGAUUCUUAAAACAAUGAAAUAUGCAUUUACUUAAGUUGUUUUGUCGGAUAUGAUGUGUGUUUUAGGUAUGUUGCAGGUAAAUUAGGUUGGAAGUGGUGUUGAUUGAGAAUUAAUGUAAAAGCUACAAAAAAUUUGACGUGUGGAUUAGGCUGCAAGCCGUUUAGUCACCUUACGACUCAUAGCCAGAAUCGUGGGCAAAACAAUGGCAAAAGUUGAGUUCCAAGAAUAAAGUAAUAGAUGAUCAUGACUCAUUAUGUGUGACUAUGAGUCGUGGAGUAAAGUCAUUAUGGGAAUAGUCGCUAAAAGUCCUAAGGAAUGAAAAAUAGGCUCCAGUAGUAACGAGUGAAGAUCACGAGUCAAUAGGAUUGAAUAUGACUCGCAGUGAGGAGUCAUCCUAACAACAAACUCAAAAGUCAUGAAAGUAAAAUUCUAUUAGAGUGACUACGACUAGAAUCCUAAGACUUGGGAAGUCAUCUAGAGAGUCGUGAUCACCGAAAGAAAAUAAGAGUUAUGAAAUUAGGCAAUGAGUCAUAAUUAGUCUUAAUGACUCAUUCCCAGAGCUGUGACCACUGCCGACAUAAUUCUCUUAUUCUGUUUUACUUAGGUUUCCUAUAUUAUUUUGGGGAUACUAUAAAUACCCUUGGGUUAUUCUUUUAUUAUGUUACACACUUUGAGAUAUUUUCACAUACUUUGACAUCUUUAAUACUCUUGUUAUUGGUUUUUUGGUUUCAUAAUUAAUCAUGAUUUUGGAUUUUAUUCUAUCGUCCAGUGAAAUUAAUUCUAUGUUUUCUUCAUUAAACUCCAUGGGCUGUUCCAUAACCAUGAGCGACUAAUUUCCUUGGCUAGGGUUGUGGGAACCCUGAUGGACUGACAAAGUAAGGAAAGUGCGAGAUUCAACUAGACCUAAAUUUAUAUGUGUAUUGUGGUUUCCUUUGAGUUAAUUGAUUUCUUUGUGGUGUCCAACUCUAACAACCAGUCUGUAUUCGAGAUCAUCUUUAUAAGGUAGGUCGAUAUUGGGAAAAAGGAAAUACUACAGUGAUUUGAGGAUAUCAACACUCAUCUAAUAACUUGAGACCCCUAAGGUAAUAGUUAUACUGCGGCUGAAGACAAGUGUUAUAACCUGACCUAGGGACUAGUCGUGAUGGGUAUCUCAAGGCCGUCGAGGGUCGAUGACCCCCCCUUAGUCUAGCCAACCAGUACACAAAAUCCAGAUGAAAAACUAAUGAGUGAUGUAUUUACCACUCAUUUGUACUCAACAUUCAUGCAUAAUACCAUAAUUUGAAUGUACAGAUGAGAUAUAUUUGUGAUUAAGGGCACUAAUUUCCACAUUUUGUAGGCAUAUAUGUCAUGAGAUGAAAAGUUGUGGAUUGAAACUAAAAAGAAUAAAAAGGAGAAAACAAGUACACCUGGAAGACCUAGAGAAGAAACAAGCCUUAGUUACUACGAUCACUGUUUGAGGUCAGUGAUUGUGGUUAGUCAAGACAGGUCAAUGUAUCGCGAUUACGAGUGCUGACCAUGAUUGUAUUAGCCGCGAUCGCGGACAAAUGGCAGCGAUCAUAGCCUAGUGGGUUUAAUGAUCAAGGGCAAUUUAGUCGAAAGACGUAGCUGAUUCCAAUUCCCAUUCCAGGCACACUUCUUCUUCCAUUAGGACAUUAUAUAAGAGAGGAGGAUUGAAAAAUUAGAAAACAAGUGAACCUUAGAAUUUGGGAAACAUUUGUGUAGUUAAAAUUUCAAGUAGAAAUUGCUAAAAUUGAAGUGUAUAGUGUAGAUUUUAUUUAUCUUCCAUUGUUAUGGAUUCAAUAAAUGAAUUUUUUGGUAUAUUUUAUCUCUUUCAUUUCAUGAGUAGCUAAAUUCUCUAUUCUUGGGAUUAUGUUGAACAAGGAUGCAAUUGUGUUUGGGUGAUGAUGUGUUUGUGUAAUUCUUAGUUGUUGAUUAUGUAUCCCAUUAUUGAUUGGUUUAAAAUGGUUUUGUUAGAUGAUAACCCCAAACUCUUGAAAGCUCUCAUCAUCCUUGAAAGAGGGAUAUGGGUGAACUUUUGGGAACCCGUAGCUUCCUUGAAAGAGGUCUAUAUGGGGCCAAAGUAAUAGCGCAAAAUUGUAAAUAUAACUUUCUUUUGCCAUCUUCGAAAUAAGGGUAGAUAGAGAGUAGGUUAUGUUAGGGCAUCUUCCUAAAAAUAGGGAUGCCCAAUUGAGGUUUUGGGUGGAAUUUAUUGAUACACUCGUUAGGUACUCGAAAGAGUCAAUGAGUGGCAUCCUUAAGGCCUUGUUGACAAACUAGCCUCAUGGACUCUUAACCUAACCUACCAUGUUAUCAACAAUUAGAACUUAUACCAAACCAUCAUGAUCACACGCACAACUUGCCCUUAGGUAGACAUAAUCCUAAGAUCCAUCCGAAAAUUAAAUUCUUACACAAAAGUAUUAUUGUAGUGUGUUGCAUUACUUGAUAUUGAUAACAUCCUAUUCCAACCCCCCCCCCUCCCCCCACACACACACUUUUUACAUCAUGUGUUUUACGUUGUGAAUACUUCAGGUAUCUUUUUAGUUAUCUUGACACCCAUAGGACUCGAAAUCUAAAUCUUACUCCUCGUUGAUUCGACCUCAAUGAAAGUUGAGCUAUUGACAAAGACCGUCCUCUACCACUUUAGAUGGUAUAGGUGAGCGUUAUCAACAAUGAAAGACAUCCAAAAUAUAAAAAUAAAAUAGUUAAUGUAACUCAAUGUAACUGAGAGUCAAUAAACAAUAACCACCCACUCUUUUUCUAUAAAAUCUAUUAAAUCAAAGUACCAAGUUAGUUCGGGACAUGCCCCAGGCCAUGGCCAAAAAAGAAAUCCAGAAUAUAAAAGAAACCGAUGGGAUUUCGAUACUCAUAAAAGAAAGAAAUGAAAUUUAUGGCCUUUCAAAAAAGGCAUACUCACUACUUCAAUGCAGACCAACCAACAAACCAAAACCACCUAACUCUUCAUAACGAAACCAAAACACCCUUAGGACUCUACCAUCAUGAAAUGAUGUAGCAUCCAAGGAUAGUUAGCAGGGUAAGAGCUAGCAUAUAACUCGAGGAACGGAUAAAAUAGUGCCAUUUUCCAAAACAAAACCAAUCUCAAUGUAAAUGUUCAUAUACAUGCAUAUACAUAUAUAAAAACGUUGGAAUAGGGUACAAGGUUUAAUUAUGAGAUUUAAAAACCAUUAACCUAGUCUUUAUAGCUCUAACCAUCCUAAAGAAACAUUUGUGUAGUUAAAAUUUCAAGUAGAAAUUGCUAAAAUUGAAGUGUAUAGUGUAGAUUUUAUUUAUCUUCCAUUGUUAUGGAUUCAAUAAAUGAAUUUUUUGGUAUAUUUUAUCUCUUUCAUUUCAUGAGUAGCUAAAUUCUCUAUUCUUGGGAUUAUGUUGAACAAGGAUGCAAUUGUGUUUGGGUGAUGAUGUGUUUGUGUAAUUCUUAGUUGUUGAUUAUGUAUCCCAUUAUUGAUUGGUUUAAAAUGGUUUUGUUAGAUGAUAACCCCAAACUCUUGAAAGCUCUCAUCAUCCUUGAAAGAGGGAUAUGGGUGAACUUUUGGGAACCCGUAGCUUCCUUGAAAGAGGUCUAUAUGGGGCCAAAGUAAUAGCGCAAAAUUGUAAAUAUAACUUUCUUUUGCCAUCUUCGAAAUAAGGGUAGAUAGAGAGUAGGUUAUGUUAGGGCAUCUUCCUAAAAAUAGGGAUGCCCAAUUGAGGUUUUGGGUGGAAUUUAUUGAUACACUCGUUAGGUACUCGAAAGAGUCAAUGAGUGGCAUCCUUAAGGCCUUGUUGACAAACUAGCCUCAUGGACUCUUAACCUAACCUACCAUGUUAUCAACAAUUAGAACUUAUACCAAACCAUCAUGAUCACACGCACAACUUGCCCUUAGGUAGACAUAAUCCUAAGAUCCAUCCGAAAAUUAAAUUCUUACACAAAAGUAUUAUUGUAGUGUGUUGCAUUACUUGAUAUUGAUAACAUCCUAUUCCAACCCCCCCCCCUCCCCCCACACACACACUUUUUACAUCAUGUGUUUUACGUUGUGAAUACUUCAGGUAUCUUUUUAGUUAUCUUGACACCCAUAGGACUCGAAAUCUAAAUCUUACUCCUCGUUGAUUCGACCUCAAUGAAAGUUGAGCUAUUGACAAAGACCGUCCUCUACCACUUUAGAUGGUAUAGGUGAGCGUUAUCAACAAUGAAAGACAUCCAAAAUAUAAAAAUAAAAUAGUUAAUGUAACUCAAUGUAACUGAGAGUCAAUAAACAAUAACCACCCACUCUUUUUCUAUAAAAUCUAUUAAAUCAAAGUACCAAGUUAGUUCGGGACAUGCCCCAGGCCAUGGCCAAAAAAGAAAUCCAGAAUAUAAAAGAAACCGAUGGGAUUUCGAUACUCAUAAAAGAAAGAAAUGAAAUUUAUGGCCUUUCAAAAAAGGCAUACUCACUACUUCAAUGCAGACCAACCAACAAACCAAAACCACCUAACUCUUCAUAACGAAACCAAAACACCCUUAGGACUCUACCAUCAUGAAAUGAUGUAGCAUCCAAGGAUAGUUAGCAGGGUAAGAGCUAGCAUAUAACUCGAGGAACGGAUAAAAUAGUGCCAUUUUCCAAAACAAAACCAAUCUCAAUGUAAAUGUUCAUAUACAUGCAUAUACAUAUAUAAAAACGUUGGAAUAGGGUACAAGGUUUAAUUAUGAGAUUUAAAAACCAUUAACCUAGUCUUUAUAGCUCUAACCAUCCUAAAGGCACCCACGGGAUAUAUUGGUUUAGCUCCCCCAGUUGAAUGAGUCCUAGUGCGUGUUAUCCACAUAAACUAGGAAAAAUUGGAGGAAGGGCCAGGAAAUCUACAAUCGCAGCGAUUCAAAAUUAUGUAUAAUAUGUCAACUAUCCAAACUAUCAUAAAUACUCCCAUCCCGGCAAGCGUGGUUACUAGUAUUGGUCCCCCCGAGACUUCUACCUUCCAUGAUGAGCUACACAUAACCCUUUAAGACCAACUAAAACAUUUGCACAUAACUCACCCAUUUAACUAAGUGUUUAUCCAGUUAGGCAUUUAGCAUUGAUAUUGACAUAACAAUUAAUUAUGAUUGCAAGAUUACAAAAUAUGCCAUUUCAAUUAUCCAUCAAUGUGGGGGAAUCCAUAAACCUCAUGUUCAAAUUUAAAACCCAUACCAUGGCCACUGAGGCCCUUUUCAAAACAAUUUUUUCCCAUUUAUCCAUUAAUGUAAUGCGAUAGCUUAGACCAAUAAGGAAAAAAAUUUCAAUAAUAUUUCAAAUUCAAUUAUGCAAGUGGGUUGAGUUUACUACCAAUUCCAAAGUGGACUCCAUAAAAUUUAGGGAAAUCAACCACCCCCGUCCCAUUCACCAUACCCACACACAAUUUUAGUUCAAAAACCAUGAGAUAAAGUAUGAAAAACAAUUCCAAAACCAUUUGAAAGACAACCAAGUAGUAAUCAUACAAAACCCUCAACCCAUUAUUUAAAACCCAAUAAUUAAAUCCACAUAAACCAUGAUUAAACAUAUGAUUUUAUAUAAAACCUAGUUAGAUAAGAGAUACAUGCCUGAAAACACAAAUAAAUUUGGAGAGAAAACCAAAAUUUUAAGCCAUGAUGACCAAUUCCCUUAAAAACCCUAACUGUUCUUGCUUGGGAAAUGUAAGAGAGAAGGGAGUAUUUAUGUAAUGUUAAUUUGGGAAAAUAUGGCUAAGGGGAGGGUUUUAAGUCAUGGAAUGUAAUGGGAUGGAAGUAAAAGGCCACAAUGCCCUUAAUAAAAUCGUGCAAAAAAUAUAACUACCAGUCGCUAUGGAUCCCAUAAUGACUCGUGGUCACUGGUCAUAAGUUGUCACUAUGACUCGUAGUCUAGGUAGAAAUUUUGGCACCUUGACUGGUAAGGUCAUGAGUCACACCCUAUGACUCGUCACUAGUCCUUACGACUCGUAGGGUACUAGUCAUAACAAUAACACAAACAGUAGACCAUCUCACUGGUUAGACCUCUAUUGGCACUGUAUGACUCGUCACCUAAGUCGUACCGUUGAUAGUAAUGACUAAACCUAGAAAUUUACAAGGUCCAAACCCUAGAUUAUUACAUUACCCCCCUCCCCCACCCCCACCCCCCAAGAUCAUUUGUCCUUGAAUGAGGAGUCAAGGAACCCAUUAACAUGAUAACAAAAUAGAAUGCACACAUACCCAAGAGACAAAUUUGAAAGACCAAAAGAGGGAGAACAGAAAUCAUAUCCCAAGCAUUUUCAUCCAACGCGGGGAACAAGAAUGGAUACUAUGACUUCAUGUUCUUUUCAGUUUCCCAAGUAUCUUAUACCACCUUUGAUUCCUCCAAAGGACUUUCACUGAAGUUACAUCUCAACCGGGACUUCCUCAUAAGAUAAGGAAUCUGAGAUACCAACAUCCUCUCUAGUAACAAUCAAAUAAGGAUCACCCACACACUUUUUAACAUCGAUACAUGGAAGAUUGGAUGAAUAGAACACAAAAUCACAGGCAAAUUCAACUCAUAAGAAAUAUUCCCAACUCUUCUCAACAUCUGGUAUGUACCAAUAAAACGGGGAGUCACCUUUCUUUUAUUCCCAAACCUUAUCACUCCCUUCAUAGUAGAGACUUUAAAGAAUCCCCAAUCACCUAUAUCAAAUUCCAACUCCCUUUGCCUCACAUCUGCAUAAGACUUUUGGCUACUUUAGAUAGUCUUAGACCUAUCCCUAAUCUACUUCACCUUCUUUGUGUCUUGACAAACCAAGUUCAAACCAAACAACCUAGCCUAACCAGCCUCAAACCACCCAAUAGGAGAUCUACACCUCCUACCAUAAAAAUCCUCAAAAGGAGCCAUCUGAAUACUCGAGUGGUAUAUAUUAUUAUACGCAAACUGAAUAAGAGGUAAGUCAUUAACCCAAUAUCCAUUAAAGUCAAACACACAAGAAAUUUGCAUAUCCUCCAAGGUCUAAAUAGUAUAUUCUGCUUGUUCAUCCAUUUGAGGUUUGAAAUAAGUGCUAAGGUUCACCUUAGUCCCCAAAACUUUCUGAAAUAAAUAGAAAAAAUGAGAAGUAAAUUUCAUACCUUGGUUUGAAAUGAUGGACAUAGGCACUCCAUGAAAUCUAACUAUCUCUUCAAUGAACAACAUAGAAUAAUCCUCUCAAAAGUCGGUGAUCCUCAUAGGCAAGAAAUGAGCAGACUUAUCAUCCUAUCCACAAUGACCCAAAUCAAAUCAUACUAAUUAUGAUAUUAUGAAAGACCCAUAAAAAAAUCCAUGUAGAUCAUUCCCAUUUCCAAACUGACAACUCGAUCCCUUGAGAUAUCCCACCAGGACUCAAGUGUUCAACCUUCACCUACUGAUAGACCAUACACUUGUACACAAAAUUCACCUCAUCCUUCUUCAUAUUGCUCUACCAAAAUAUUUCCUUCAAGUUAUGAGACAUCUUUGUUGAACCUAGAAAAACAAUAUUCCUUGAUUCAUGAGCCCCAAUCAAAAUACUAUCCCACCAUCCAUCAAUAUCAAGAACACACAACCUUUCUUGAUACCUCAAAAUACCAUCACUGCUAAUCUUAAAAGAUAUUUUCUUCCAUCCCACAUCAUCCUUUAUCUUCAUAAGAAUAGGAUCCAAAAUCUUCUUCUCCUUCAGCUUAGUACUAAGAGAUUAUUAGACCAUCUUUUGUACAAUCACUCCUCCAUACUCAGAGUCCAAAAGAUGAACCUCCAAGUUAUCCAACCUAUGAAUAUCCUUCUCUAACCCUCUCUUCUCAUCAUCUAUAUAAGAUAAGCUCCCCAUAGACAACCUUCUAGGAGUAUCAACAACCACAUUUGUGUUACUUGAAUGAUAGUGAAGACUUAUGUCAUAAUUCUUAAGCAACUCAAGCCACUGCCUUUGCCUGAGAUUUCACUCCUUUUGAGUAAAUAAUUAUUGUAAGCUUCUAUGUUUGAAAUAAAUAUCCACGUGUACCCCAUAAAAAUAAUGGCGUCAAAUUUUUAUAGUAAAAACCACAAUCGUCAAUUCUAAAUCAUGAGUAAGAUAAUUUAUUCCAUGAACCUUAAGUUGUCUAGAAGUAUAGGCCACCACCUUACCAUGCUAUACCAAGGCACAACCUAGUCCCAUACGAGAUGCAUCACAAUAUACAAUAAAUCCAUUAAUAACCUCAAGCAAGGUCAAAAUAUGAAUAGAAGUCAACUUAUUCUUAAACUUCUCAAUACUACCCUCACAAGCAUCAAACCACAAGAACGUCACCUUUUCUAAGUUAACUUAUUAAACAGAGUAGAAACAAAAGAAAAACUCUUCCCAACCUUAAAUAAUACCCAGCAAAGACAAAAAAGCUCCAAAUAUCAUUUGGAGUCAUGGAUUUAGGCCAUAUCUUAACAGUCUCAACCUUUGUGGGUGUAGGAGUCUUCAUGACUUGUUACCUGAGCUGCACCCUAGGCGGUGAUGAAUAAGCCAAAAAAUUUGUAGCGUCCAAAACUAGGGGUAUUAUAAUAAGGAAUAAUAAGGCAACACCGUAAGACUCAUAAGGUGAAGGGUGAUAUUUACCAUCGAGUCCUUAAUAUAGUUGGUAAUAUCGAGCUUAUAAAAUUCUUUCAUGUGCCAGUGGUAUAGUUGGGUUAACCAUGAGAAUCUUAUAGAGUUAGAAGGUUGGGGGAACACAAUCCUAGUGUUUGUUUUGACUGAUUACAACUAUACUAUCCCAAUUCUGUUACUAUAUACUACUUUUACCAAUACUUUACCCUAUUUAUUUUUCUGCACUUCCAUUGAUUUCAUUAAGUUUGAGAGAUAAUUCUGCGUAUUCCAUGUGGGUUUGACCACAACCUGGUUUGGUUACUAUAUUUGAAAUUGACCAUAACGUACUUCUUUGGAGGUACAAUUUUGGGAAACAUCAGUCACCCUUAGAAUACAUGCAUUAUCAUUUUGUGAACUCAAAAUGAGAAAUAAGAGGAGAGAAAAUGGAAUAGAUAAAAUAGAUUUAUAAUCUUCCAAUUGAAUAAAGUUAUAAUUUACAAGUAUGAUAUAUGUAUUUUAUGGGAUAAGCAGCUAACUACAAGGGGCCAGGUCCUUAGAUGUGCAAGGUACAGCAUAGUUUGCAUUCGAUGUUUGCAUAAUUUUGUGCUCUUCUGUAACAAGAUUGUAGGUGCUAUUUUUCAAGUAUGCUAUAUGUAGUUUUGAUGAUGAGAACCUAACUAUAAGGGACCAACUCCCUGUAUAAGCAAGGUACAAUACAGCUGGCACGCAUUGUCUUCAUAGUUUUGUCCUCUUAUGUAACAAACUUUUAGGUGUUAUUUUGUACUGAUUAGGAUAGCUGGUCCAAUGAUCUUUCAACCCUAAUAAUCACUCAGAUAAAAAAAGACAUGCCUCUUUAUCAAAUCAGUUUUACUUAAUAAGAAAGAGUGAGGAAAGACAAUAAAAACCCUAUUUCAACACUACUCAAGUUCUUAGCUUUAUGAAUGCUUAAAUAGAAAUAGUUCUUGAGUGAGUUUUGAUUUGUUAAUGAAUUACCUGUGUUAUAGAAGUAAUGAUUUUUAUUCUAUUAAGAGAGGUUCUUAGGUAGAGUUGCCUGACCUUGUGACUAAUUAGAGUUAAUAAGCAGAGAGAAUCCUUGGUAGAGUUACCAAGAUAAACUUACAACAGAAUUGCCACUAGUGAAAAGAGCCUAGAGGUAGGAUGAAAUCUAGACUAUAAUCAGGAGGUUGAUUAUAGUGGAUUUCUUUUGUGCUUGUGAGGGCAAUCCUUGGUUUUUUACUUCAUGGGAUUAUACAUCAAAAUAUUAUGUUUUUACCCUUCAUGCACUAUUUUUUGUUCUCCUUCCUUUUAUUAUUUGAUUUCUUGUGAUUGACUUUGAGGGACCUAGUCCCUCACUAUAUGGUGCAAUCCUCAGGGUUUCUGUAAUUAGUAUCAGAGCAAGGUCACUCUAAAAGGUUCACACCUAGAGUGUUUUAGCUAGCAUGGCUUCUCUACAUAAUAUAGAAGAAGGACAAUCUACUACUAAACCACCCAAAUUCAAUAGGUAGUAUUAUAGGUAGUGGAAGACAAGGAUGUUUGACUUUAUUAUGGCUAAGGAUUAUAAGUUGAUGGACCUAAUUCUUUAUGGUCCUCGUGUACCUAUUAAAGAAGUCAAAGAAAAAGAGGUUACAAGAAUGGUCGUUAGAAGUAUGAGAGAGUACAAUGAUGAAGAUAGGAAAAAGAUCAAAAAAAUUACAUACCCAAGAAACUGUUAGUAUAUGGCAUAGGUCCUUAUGAAUAUUAGGAUAUCAUCUUGUGAAAAUUCAAAUGAGAUCUGGGAUUACUUGAGAACUACUCAUAAAGGCACCACUGAUGUGAAGGAUUCAAAAGUGGACAUAUUGACUACUUAGUAUGAAACCUUCACCAUGAAAGAAGGAGAAACAAUCAAAGAAAUGCAUACAACAUUCACUUUUAUCACAAAUGAGCUUUAUUACUUAGGUGAAGUGAUUCCCUUGUACAAAUAAGUGAGAAAAAUUCUUGGUGUUCUUCCUAAGUACAUGGAAAGAAAAGUGGAUGCCAUAACUAAAUCAAAGAACCUAAAUGCCCUCACUAUGGAUGAACUCAUUUGAAUAUAAAGACUAAUGAGCUUAAGAAGCUGCAAGGUUUUGAAAAAAAGAAGCAAGAAGAUUUAAAUCCCUGGCAUUAAAGGCUUCUAAGUAUGAACCAGUUGAUGAUGAAGACACUAAUGUUGCUUAUUUGGCAAAUAGAAUUUUUAGAGCUAUGAAAAAGAGUGGUCAGUUCUUAGAGGGAGGAAGAAAUACUGAAGUGUGUUACAAAUAUAGAUGUCCUAAGAAUUUAAUCAAGGACUGUCCCAUGCAUAAAAUGGAUCAUCAGGAUUACCUCAAGGCUGCAAGUUACAAAGGAUUGAUCAAAGACCAAGUCCCUGACAAUUAAAGAAGGAAGGGUAUAGCUUAUUAUGAAGUAAAAAAAGCUCUUGCAGCAUGGGAAGAUUUCUCCAGUGAAUCGAAUAAGGAUAAGUAGUCUAGAGAUAUGUCUAUGCUAGCAGUGGAAGAUAAUCCAAUUAUGUAUGAUUUAUUAUUUUCCUUCAUGGCAAAUACAAAUGAUGAAGAAAAAGAUAAGGUAACUCUCUCUUAUAUAAAGGAAAUUCUAGAUAACUAUUCUGCUAGAAAGAUAAAAAAGAUUGCAAGUAUGUUGAUAGAUUGUGUAUCUGAACUAACUAUUGAGAAAAAUGCCUUAGAAGAAAAAGUAAAGAAUCAAGAGCAUGAUUUGAUUGCUUUAACUCUCUAAAUUUUUGGAACUAAAGAGUUGUUCACCAAGAUGAAAUCUAAAAAUUUAAAUUUAAAAACACCUUAUAUAUACACUUUACAGGAAUGAAGAGUUAGAGAAGGACCUGGUCUGCUUGAUAGAAGAGUUGAGCAAGUCUCUUAAGUGGACGACUUCCUCACUAAUACUUUAUGACUUGACUAAAAAAGGUUUUAAUAAUGGUAGAUGUUAGGUCUAUCAAUGAAAAUCCCAACCUGUUGAUUCUAAAAGAAAGUUUGUUCUUGAUGAUAGAAGAGAAGGGUACAAAAUCUUGUGCACUCACUGUGGAAGAGAUGGACAUUUGAAAGAAAGAUCUCAAUACUAGAUUAAGUUAUUAUUAAGGAAUACUAAAUACAUUCAAUAGGAUUAUGAAUAUCCUACAGUCUUCGAGUCUCCAAAAAAAGUGAAGAGGAAGCUAUCAUUACAUAUAUGGGCUAAGAAGAAUUUGAUCACACCAUUAUCCUUCUACUAGGAACUCAAACUUAAGUGGGUUCCUAUAUCUAACUUAUGAUCAUAAUUACAAACAUGGGAAGUUAAUUACAGUCAGGAGUAGCUCAUUAAUUGAAAGGGUUUAAAGCUCAAUGAUGGAAGGUCUGACUAUGUUCUCUCUCUUAAGACACUUCAGGUAAAGGUGUCUUAUUGUGAAAAGCUGAUCUCAAGGACCUAGUCCUUAUCUUAUGAAUGUUGAUGCUAAAAAAAAAGUAUGUGUGAAGCUUGUAUUCUAAAGGAAUCCAUAGAAUGACCUUCAGAUUUGAUAAAUGAAAAUGCUUUGGAGAAUGAAUUGAAAGGAAUUCUAUAGAUUGAUGAAAGAGGUGCAUGUAGUUCUUGAUUAGUCAAUAACAUUAUAGAUCCUUGGUGGUGUUAAAAAUAAUGAGUAAAAGGAUGAAAGAUACAGAUGAUUCUCAGGGUCUUGGUCCCUAGAAAAUAAAUCUCAGAAAGAGAAGCUUCAAUAGCUUAAAUAAAGCCAAGUCUGGGACUUGGCGCCUAAACCUGCUAUGGGAAUAAGUUUUGAGAUAAAAAAGUAUGUAGAUUUUAAAGCAUGAUAUUGAUUUAACCUAAUAUGUAAAUCAAUGUCUCUCAAAAAAAUUGGCUAUGAUAAGGAGACACGAAUCCUUAAUAAAGUACAUCCAUAUUAUUCUUACUCAGUACUAUACCCUUGCAGGGAUACACCCAUGGGAACAACAUUGAAAGUGGAAAAAUGUUACUUGCACAAAUUUGAAGAUUUACUCAAAAAGGGGGGAGACCUGGUCACAUCUCUCAGGUUAGUAUCACAACAGUAUGCUUUAAUAAUCAUAAAAUAAUUGCCUAGAAAGCCAUGUGUUUUUCCUUCUCUAAAUAAAAUUUGUCAAUUCUCUUGCAAAAUGAAGAGUUGCUCUUAUUAGGAUCAGACAUGUCUUUUCAAAAGGAACAUAUUUUGAUGACAACGGUUACCGCUUCAAAAUUCUAAAUUGUUAUAUUUCUCAUUCUUAGACUCAAAUCAUCACUCUUUGCCCCCUCUAAACCAAACUGGUUCCUCUGACUCUUCUUCACUCACAAAACCAAAUGACUAACCUUACUACUUCCUUAAACCUAUCUAAGAACCCUGAAGUAGAUAAAACUCUAAAAAAUCAAAUUGAAUUUUCCUUCAUAAAAUAUCUCGAUCCUUCGGCAACCAAAGCCAUAGAAAACAUCACCUUAGAUCCUCUAAGUCAAAGUCUAGUAACCUUGUUGGAAUGAGCCAAAAAUAUAUAGCUGUAAAGAAAAGUAUAGACGCUGAGGGACCUGGUUCAAAGAAGAAAAAAGUUGUGACUAAAAUGAAGAGGAAAGUAAUGAGACUAAAGAAAGAGAUAAAAAAUGUGUCUCGAUAAAUAGGAAAUAAAAUUCUAAUGACUCAUAAGGUUCUGUCAAAAAGAACUUUUGAUUCCAAGGUAUGUGAUAAGCUAGAAAUAAUGGAAGCUGGUAGAUUAUUUCAAGCACCAAUGAUGACUAUAUAUUUUUGAGCAAACAUCACUAGUGGUUUUUGAAAAUAAGAUAAGGGAAUUUUAUUACACCAUAGAAUUCUCAGAAGAUGGACUAACUCUGAAUGCCCAAAUCUAAGGGAAGAUUAUUAAUCUAGGUAAAAAAUCAUGGCGUAAGAUCUUGGAUGAACCUAUAAUAGGUGUGAGGACAGUUGUGAAGAAGCAACCCUUAACUUAGUUCAUGAUAAAUUCAUCAAAGAUAAGAGGAACAUCAAUAGUUGAAGUAAAAAUAAAGUUUUUAAAAAUAAGUAUUAGUUGGUAUUUGAGUUCAUCAACAAGGUCCUACUACCAAGGUUUAAAAAAAAAACAAUUCACUUUAGUGUUUACUUGUUCUUGAUCAAAUGUCUGAGUAAGUUUUCGUUAAUAAUCUUACCAGAGCACAUGAAGAAGGUAAUCUAUUGGAAGUAAUGUAAACAUGGAAUGCCAUAUAGGUCUAUCCUCAACAAUGUAUUUGAUCACUUUGGGGUAAUUGAGAACUGUGUUAGAAAUAAAGGACACUAAAAUAAUAUACCUAAAAAUGCAGAAUUAGAAAUUGUCUUCUGACGAAACUAGUGCCACUGAUGAACUUGCAGAUAAAAAUACUAAACUGCAGACAAAAGUGGUAGAACAACUGGUGAAUUUCAAAGAUUGGAUGCUGAAGUGAAGGACCUUACAAAAAAAGUUGUUGGACGCUAUAACUACUAAAAAUGAAAGAAUGGAGAUGUUUCUUAAGUCCUUUUUUCCUAAUCCUCCCUCUACCUAAGCCAUGUUAUCCUUAUUUCCUCAUCAAUCUAUGUUAUUUUUAUAUUUUGGUUCACAUAAUGGGCCUUAAAGAUAGUUAUUUUUAUGGUGAUUAUUUUAUCUUACUGUAUUGGUACUUAUCAUGAUUAAUCAUGAAUGAAUCUUUAUUUGUGAUCUUCAUUUUUCUUCUUUACUUUAAAGUUGUUCUAUAUGUUAGUCUUGCCUCAAUGACCAUGAUUUGACUAAUUUGUACUAUGAUUACUCUUGGUUUACUAUUCUAACUUUUCAAUGAUGCCAAAAGAAGGUAUACAAUGUUUAUAUAGUAGGGACCAGGUACCAGGUGAAUUGAGUUGUAGAUUUGAAGGGAGUCAUAUUGAUAAGGGGAUGUAUUUAAGUGCAGGAGGUGUGAAAAUGCACAAAAUGAAGGUUCAUGAUAACAGAGGGAAUAAAUCAGAGGUUUUUGCUAUAAAUAACAAUAAGGGACUAGGUCCUGGUGCUGCAUAAUGAUAGGGAGAACAUUUAUCUUCAAGUUAUAAUCACUAAUUAAAUAUGUUGAAUGUGCAUUAAUGCUCAAAGUUGUAUGGUUGGUUUGUUAUGAUCAAAAAGGGGGAAAAUUGGUAUUUGUAGUUUUAUUUCUAAGCAGCUAACUGCAAGGGACCAGGUCCCUAGAUGUGCAAGGUACAGUAUGGUUGGUUUAAUGAUAUUUCAUCACUAAUCACCACUUAUCUAUAAAAGAAAAAAAUUCAUAUUUAUCAAAUCAGUUUUUUUGCAAUGAAAAAGAGUGAAGAGAGGCAGAAAAAAACCUAUUUCAACACUGCUCAAGUUCUUAGCUUUAUGAGUGCUUAAAUAGAAAAAGUUUUCAAUGAGUUUUGAGUUGUAAAUGAAUUACUCUUGUAUAAGUGUAAUGAUUUUUUCUUUUGUUGAGAGAGGUGCUUAGGUAGAGUUGCCUAAGAUUAUGACUAAUUGGAGUUAAUCAAUAGAGAGAGUCCUUGAUAAGGUUACCAAGAUGAGCUUGUAGUACAGUUGCUACUAGCAAAAUGAGCCUAGAGGUAGGCUGAAAUCUACACUAUAAUUAGGAGGUUGAUUAUAGUGGAUUUCCUUAGUGCUUAUGAGGGUGAUCCAUGGUCUUUCCCUUCCUGGGUUUCCACAUAAAAAUCUUAUGUUUUUACUCUUCUUGCACAAUCUUUAAUUCUCCUGGACUAUAUUGUUUUAUUGCCUAUUAUUGACUCUGAGGGACCUGAUCCCUGAUUGUGUGUUGCAACCCUUAAGGUUCCUACAAAGUAGGAUAAGAAUAUACAUAUGUCCUCUAUUAGGUUAAAGUAAAAGAUGAAAAUAUGAAUGUAUUUAACUAUGUUUUUUCAUCCCCGAUCAUUGAUGUAAUUGUGGGGCUAAUUUAAAUAAUUGAGUAGAGGUUCAAAAUUCCAAAGACAUCGUAUGAACCCAGUGACCCAACAACUAAUAUAAUCUACCUAACUAACAAAGUUUAUAGCUUAGUACGAUAUUCACAAUGCCUUAUCCCUAAUCUUUUCCUCAUAAAUUUUCAACCCCUUACUUUAUAGCAUUGUUUAGUUUAAUCUUAGUUUUAACUUACAAUUACUUUUGGUUACAUUAGUAGUGACUUAAUCUUAAUAGUUGGACUAGCAUGGUAUAGUUGUUAAUACAAGUCCCUAAGGGAUCAAUAUUUUGCUUGUAAAAGGCCACUAUAUUACUUGGUGAGACUACAUACACUUGCGUAUGUACUUAGGAGCAAGAAGUGGUAGAUAGUUUCUUAGGAGAAGAGAACUAUUUUAAACCUAAAGAACAUGUUGAGAGCAUACGUGAUUAAUUUAAAGGGUAGUUGGGAUGAUCAUCUACCUUUUAUCAAGAUUACAAAUAAUAACAAUUAUCACUCUACUAUUCAGAUUGACUAUUUAAGGAUCUUUAUGGAAGGAGGUGUAGAUCUCCUGUAGGUUGAUUCAAAAAUAGUGAAAUUGUAUUGAUAGGGCCAGACUCAGUUCAUGAGGCUAUGGAGAAAGUUUAGAUGAUUAAAGAUAGGUUGAGAAUAGCUUAGAGCCAUAAAAAAUCCUAUAUAAAUAUGAGAAGAAGGGAGCUUGAGUUUUCUAUUGGUUAUUUGGUCUACUUAAAAGUCUUACCUAUGAAAGGGUGAUAAGGUUCUAGAAGUAAGGAAAGAUAAGUUCCAAAUUUAUGAACCUUAUGAGAUUGUAGGUUUGUUUUGGAAAAGUGGUCUCUGAGUUAGAUUUGCUGGCGAAUUUAGUAGUAGUGCCUCUAGUCUUUCAUGUUCCUUAAUGAAUAAGUGCAUUGGUGAUCUCGCAUCAUCAUGAACUUAGAAAGGGUUGGCAUGAAAGAUAGCCUCUCUUAUGAAGAGGUUCCUAUUGCAAUCCUUUACAUCAGGUUAAAAGGUUAAGUAAUAAAGAAGUUUCUUAGGUAAAAGCCCUUUUGCAAAAUCUGUUAGUUGAGGGGGCUACUUGGGAAGCAGAGACAGACAUGAUGCGCAAGUACCCCUAUUUUUUUCCUUCGAGCUUUGUCCUAGUUGGAGAUAAUAGUUUCCCUUAAUUAACUAAUUUUUUCUAUUUCAUGUCACCCAACUUUUCCCAUGCCAUACCAUGUGUAUGUGUCUCAAAAUUAGCCUAUGAUUUAGUUAUUGAUCUAGUACUAUUCCAAUGCUCAACUCAUAGAAACUUAAUCUAUGAAUUUUAGGUACAAAUAUUGUAGAAGGUUUCCUACAAUAUCAGGAGAAGUGGUUAUAAAAUUUGGGAAUUGAAGAUAUUUUACCCUAACCUUCCAACUGACUUAGUUUCUAUUCGAGGAUGAAUGACCCUAAAGGGGAGACAUUAUAAUACCCCAAGAAAUACAAUUCUAGUCUAAAACCAUAAUUCAAGUAUAUGUUGGAAAAAUCAUCAUGUUUUAAUAGAAUAAGAGGGGAUUUGUCAAAGUACUAAGCCCCUAAGAACCGCCCAUACCUUAACCAAGACAAAACCACCCUUACCGAUCGAUUCUUAAAAAAAGAAAUUAGAUUUUGAUGAGUAUAGCUUCCACAUUAAGAAUUAUUUUUAACUCCCAGACCCACCAAAUGAAAUAUAUUUUAAUUACCUUCCAACACAUGUAGUUUUGCCUUAAUCCGACAUCAAAGUAGUAAGUUAUGGCCAUUUAAGUAAAGCACUACUCUAUAGUAAGAUAGCACGAGACCAACCAUGAUCAUGGUUACUUUAUAUGACCAUACAAUAGUCUCAUCUGGUCAAGAAAGAACCAAAUUCUGAAAUUUGACAAAGUGUACCCUCAUGCCACAAAAGGGAACCGUGAUGGCGCUUUGAAACUAUAAGACCCUAAAAAUUUCAAUGAUUUUAUUUUUGACCCUCCCAUGGUUGUAAUAUCAAUUUUUGACUUGAAUUAUGUUUAGGGGUGUUACAAAGGUGCUUGGGGAAAGUUUUAGAAUUUUUGAUUGGAUUCAAGGUCAUUUUGGGAUCCUGAGGCAAUGAGCGUCUGUGAUAUCACCGUGUCACGAAGGCUACCAUCUAUGAUAUCGAUAUGGCACAAUGAAUAGUCUCCACAAUAUUGGUAUGCCAUGCUAAGGUGAAAAUUUCAUGCAGUUUUAUUUUUUAAUCACUUGGGAUGGGGGCUUUUGUUCUUCUUACCCCUUGUACGACUUUUAAACAUAAAAUAAUCCAAUUCCCAAUAAUUUUUCAAAAUGAAAUCCCCCUAUUUCACUCUCAAAGAUAAAACCCAAGAACAUUCCAAGGGUUUCACUAUGUAUUCAUCAUUCGAGCACCAAAAUGCAAAUUAACAUCAAAUUCUUAUGUGUUUUAGGUAUUUAUCUCUCCCCCAAACCUUAAGUUUACAUUGGAGCAUUGAUUUGAUGGAUUUUCAUGUGAUUUUAGUUAUGUUUUUGGAACUUGGGUUGAGGAGUUUUGGUUCUUUUUGAUUGAAUUACUUAUCCCAUGAUGUGAAUUAAAUAUUCAUGCUCUAAAUUGGUGUUUUUUUGGAUUGAAUUGUUAAUUCAAUUAAAUGGUUGGAAUGAGGAAAGUGGCUUUCCUCAUAUUGGAUGAAUUUUGGCUUAGAAUUGCAUGAACCUCAGCCCAUUAUUUAAUUUUAUUUUAAUUAUGGAAAAAUUAGAUGGUUUUAAUUGAUUUGAACUCAAGGCAUUUCAUUAAUGGAUAAAUGGUUAUUUAAAUAGAUUUGGAUGGCCUUGGUGGCCAUGGUUUGGAUUUUAAUUUAACUUAGGAGUCAAUGUGGAUUGUGUGGCUUGGUUUGACAUAUUUAGUUUAACCUGCAGGUAUAUUAUUAUGAAGAUACCAAGUGGUUAAUACCUUAAUGAGUAACUCUUAGGUUAAUGGUUGGAAUUAUAUGUUAAAUGGUUUUAAUUUGGGAUUAAAGGGGGUUUUGUAGCUCAUCAUAGAAGGUAUAGGUCCUGGAAGGACAAAUACUAGAAACCACAUUUGCCAGCAUGGGGGUCUUUAUGACCAUAUGCAUAGUUCACACAUUAUAUAUAUAUUUUUGGAAUUUUGGAGCCUUGGUGGCUUUGGCCCUUCCUCGAAUUUAUUUUGUUCAUGCGGCUAACAUACACUUGGUCCCUUUCAGUAGGGGAGUUGAAUCUAUACAGCCCGUGGGUGCAUUUAGGAUGAUCAGAACUCCACAGUCUAGGAUAAUUAUUUUUAAAUCUUAUGCCUAAACCUUUUUCCCUAUCCUAAUAUCCUAUAUAUGUAUAUAUAAAUAUGUGCAUUUUGGUUUUGAUUGAGUUUUGGACAUAGCAUUAUAUUAUCACUUUCACUGAAUUUCAUGCCAAUUCUUUUCCUACUAACCAUCCUAGGAUGCUACAUUGUUUAAUAAUAUAAGGUCCAAAGAUACUUAUUUUAUCCUUGUGCGGUGUUAGGUGGAUUAACACAUUCGAUGAGUAGCUAUGAAGUGAUGAGCCUUUAUUCUUCAAAAGGCUUUAUCAUUUCCAUAUGAUUUCAUUUUUGACUCAUUACUUUUGGAUUCUUUUGGUCAUGUUCGGGGGCAUGUCUUAACCUAUUUGGUAUUUUGUUUUUAGAGGCCAUUUUGGAAAGAUGUGGGUUAGUUGGUUGUUAGUUGACUCUUAGUUUUAAUAGAGUUAUCUAUUUAUAUUUAUUACUAUUUUAUUGGAUUAUAAAUUUGUUAUUAUUAUUACUAUUAUGUUCUUGAGGUUGGGUUAAGAGGGUGGUCUCCACUCCAUGGUGUUCUUGAGAUACCUGUCAUGUCCAGGCCCUACUUUGGGUCUUAAUAAGCUUAGUAUCUGAGCAUGGUUUAGAGUCGUUGGGUGUCAACAAAGACAUGUUAAGUUAAGUCCUUUUUAUGGGUGUGUAGUGCGCCAUACUUAUAAGGAUGAGGAGGCUAUAAGGAAUUUAGGAAUGUUUCCCUUUAUUGUGUUCUAUUUUGGGCUAUAGAGUUUAGUGUAGUUAAAUUUCUCUAACUCUUGGCUUCCUCGCAUUUAAUAUCAUGCCUCCCCAAAGAUCUAAUGUUCAUAGAAACUUUGCUGGGAACUCUCUCCUGCAUAAAGACAUUAUAGAGAUAAGUGGCCCUAUGUAUGGAGUGGAGACCUUGUCUAGGGUCUCUGCUUCUAAUUGUGUCACUCCAUGUAGAGUUCCACGUGUCCCUACUAGUCCUUUCCAGUCUUCUUAGGGUGGUGAUGCUUGUGAUCAACCACCUUAGGGGGAAAUCUCUAAUGCAGAGUUCCACUAAUCUAUUUAUUAACUUACUCAAUUAUUGAUAUCUCAAUCUCAUCAACUGGAUCAUAUUGGUUCUGUUUCUUCUUUAUCUGAGGUCACUUGGGUUAUCCAGUUCAUGAGGUUGAAUCCCUAACCUUUACAGGAUCUAAGGUUAUUGAGGAUCCUUAAUAUUUAUGGAUGGGAUGGAGAAGAUUCUCAGAGUGAUGUAUGCCACUGAUUUUAAAAGUGUAGAAUUUGUUACAUAUCAUCUUAAAGAUGUAACUUAUUAGUGGUAAGAGGAGUGGGAGUAGUUUAGGGGUAAUGAUCUAGAGCUGACAUUAUGAUUUGAGUUUUUGGGUGCCUUUCUUGAUCAUUUUUUUCCUUAGGAGCUGAUGGAAGAUGAGGAUAAGGAAUUUGUUACUCUAAAGUAGGGUAGGAUAAUUGUUAAAGAGUAUGCCUUAAAAUUUUAGUUUGUGUCUCAUUAUGCUGCAGAGUUAGUGUCUAUCUAGGGAUCCAAGAUGAGGAAGUCUGUAUCUGGGUUGUCCCAUGAGUUGGUAUUCGAAUAUAAGGCUAUGAUAUUAAAUAAUGACAUGGCUAUCUCUAGACUUAUGGUUUAUAUGCAAUAGUUUAAGGAUAAAAAAAAGAAAUACGUAGAGAUAGUAGAGAGAUAGAGCAAGAAGUUUAGGUAUUUAGAGAUAGGUGAGGGGCAGCAGAAUAGUGGGAAAGAUAGUAGACAAUGGACCAAGAAGAAGAACUGGGACAAUUCUUAUUCUCUGUUAGUACUCUUUAUCCUAAGUGUUUUGGCGAUCAUCAUGCUCAGGCUAGUGGUUGUUCUAAGGCUUAGGUUGCCUCGCUCAGGAUAGUAUAACUCAGUCAGCCCCACCUUAUCCUUCUUAUGGUAGCUUAAUUAUGGUUAUUAUGAAGAAGAGAGGAAUUGGUGUUAUAAUUAUUAUCAUCUUGGUUAUAUGCAGCAAGAUUGUCCUUCAGCCAAAGUUUACACUGGAACUAAUAAAGUUCUGGUGCCACGUCUUCAACUCCUGCACCAAAGGGCGCUACUUAUGGUAUCAUUACUGGACAAAAUCAUCUCUACCCUCUUGUCACCCAGUAGUAAUCGGAGGCAUCUCCUGAUGUUGUUACUAAUAUGUUACAAUUCUUUUCCCAUGAUGUGUAUUUUUUGUUUGAACCAGGGUCUACCCUUUCUUUUGUGACCCUAUAUAUGGCUGUGCAUUUUAAUAUUGUCCCUAAAAUUAUUUUUGACCCCUUUUCUAUGUCUUCCUUGGUGGGUGAUUCUAUAGUCUCUAGAACAAUCUAUAGGGGUUGUGUGGUGUCUAUCUUUCAUAGAGAGACAAUAAUGGAUUUGAUAGAGUUGGAUAUGGUAAAUUUUAAUAUGAUCUUGAGGAUGGAUUGGAUUCACUCGUGUUUUGCUUCUCUAUAUUGUAGGACCUAAAAGGUCAUUUUUCACUUUCCAAAUGAGUCGGUAUUAGAAUGGGUGGGGAGUUCCACAGUACCCAAAGAGGGGUUUAUUUCCUAUCUUAGAGCUCAAAAAUUUAUUUCAAAAGGGUGUUUACAUAAUCUAGUUUGGGUUAAUGAUUCCAACUCUGAAAGUUCUUCUUUGCAAUCUGUCCCUUUGGUUAAUGAAUUUCUUAAAGUUUUUCCUGAUAAACAUCUUGGAAUUUCUCCUGAUAGGGAAAUAGAUUUUGGGAUUGUUCUUUUAAUUAAUACUCGUCCUAUUUCCAAUUCUCCUUAUAAAAUGGGUCUAGUAGUGUUAAAAUAGCUUAAAGAGCAGUUAAAGGAUCUUCUUGAUAAAGGGUUCAUUUAUCCUAGUAUUUCUCUAUGGGUUGCUCCUGUGUUUUUUAUGUGAAACAAAGAUGGGUCUCUUCAGAUAAGUAUAGACUAUCGUCAGCUGAAUAAGGUAACAAUGAAGAUUAAGUAUCGUCUUCCUAGGGUUGAUGAUUUUUUUUAUUAGGUUCAAGGUGCUAUAUGUUUUUCUAAUAUUGAUCUUCAUUCAGGAAAUCAUCAGUUGAAAAUUAGGGAGGUUGAUAUUCCCAAGAAUGCUUUUCGAAUUUGGUAUGGUCACUAUGAGUUUUGGUGAUGCCAUUUCAGUUGACUAAUGCUCCGACUUCUUUCAUGGAUCUUAUGAAUCAUUUUUUAGGUAGCUUUUAGACUUAUUUUGGAUAUUUUUCAUUUAUGACAUCUUGGUGUAUUGUAAGUGUAAGGUGGAUAAUGCCAAUCGUCUCUGAAUUGUAUUGUAGACCCUUAAAGAACAGAAGUUGUAUGCUAAAUUUUCUAAGUUUGAAGUUUGAUUCAAUAUGGUGACUUUUCUGGAACAUGUUGUUUCUAGUGAAGCGAUUAAAGUGGAUCCAUAGAAAGUGGAGGUAGUUAAGAGAUGGCCUAGACCCAUGACUCUAACUAACAUUAGGAGCUUUUUGGACUUGGCUUCAUAUUAUAGGAGAUUUGUGGAGAGUUUAUCAUUUAUUGCUACUCCGCUGACAAAGAUAACUCAUAAGACGGUUAGGUUUUUGUGGUUCGAUGCUUAUGAGGGUAGUUUUGAGAAGUUGAAAAUAAGAUAAAUUUUGUGCUAGUUUUGACCUACCUGAGGGUAUUGAUAGUUUUGUUAUAUUUUCUAAUGUAUCUCGUGUGGGAAUAGGCUGUUUGAUAAAACAUGGUAAGAUUGUAGCCUAUGCUUCUAUGCUUUUUAAGGUUAUGAUAGGAAAUAUAUAACUCAUGAUCUAAAGUUUGUGGUUAUGGUUUUUUCUUUGAAGAUUUAGCACCAUUACCUGUAUGGGAUGAAUGUAGAUAUCAAUUUAGAUCAGAAGAGAUUGUAGUAUGUGUUCACUCAGAAAUAGUUGAAUAUCAGGUAAAGGAGGUGGUUUGAAUUGCUCUAGGAUUACGAUAUGAGACUCCACUAUCAUCCAGGUAAGUAAUAUUAUUGCCAAUGCUCUUAGAAAUUUUUCUAUGGGGAGCUUAUCAUAUGUGGGUGAGUAGAAAAGAGGAUUAGCGAUGUACAUUCACAAAUUAGCUAACUUGGGAUUUCAUCUUUUAGACUCGAAAGAUAUGGUAGUUAUUAUUUAGGAAGUAGUCAAAUCAUCUCUUAGUACUAAGGUAAAGGAGAAAUAGGAUUUGGAUCCCAUACUCAUACAUAUUAAGGAUGAUAUAGGUCUGUCAAAUGUGAUGGCUUUCGAGAUUGGGGGAGAUAGCAUUCUAAGGUACUGAGGUAGGUUGUGUUUUCUAGACGUUGAUGGACUGUAAGAAAGGAUUUUGAUUUUGGCUCAUGAGUCCAGAUAUAUGAUUCAUCUAGUUUGACUGAAAUUUACCAUGACUUGAAGGAGAUCUAUUAGUGAAAUAACAUGAGGAGGAAUGUAGCAAAUUUUGUUGCUAAGUGUAGGGUCUGUCAAUAAGUCAAUGUUUAACACUUGAGGCCUGGUGGCCUAGCUCAAGAGAUAGAGUUGAUAAUAUGGAAGUUGGAGAUGAUUAAUAUGGAUUUUAUUACAAGUCUUACAUGGUCCCACAAUCAAUAUGAUUCGAUUUGGGUAAUUGUGGAUAUGAUAAAUAAGUCCUUUGACUUCUUGCCUGUGAGAACUAACUACUAGGGAGAGGAUUAUGCAAAGUUAUUCAUUCAGGAGAUUGUUAAUUUUCAUGGUGUGGCAGUGUCCAUCAUUUUAGAUAGAAGUAUGCAAUUUUCAUCUUACUUUUGGUAUUUUUUUAGAAAGGUUUGGGUACACAGAUGAACUUUAGCACCGCCCACCCUUAGAAGAAUGGGCAAGAGGAGCGUACUUUUAAGACUUUGGAUGAUAUGCUAAGGGCCUUUUUGAUUGAGUUUAAGGGUUUUUGGGUUGACCAUUUACCUCUUAUUGAGUUUAAGUAUAUUAAUAGUUAUCAUUCGAGUGUUCAAAUGGCUUCUUUUGAGGCUCUUUACGAUUGGAGUUGUAGGUAUCCUAUUGGAUUGUUUGAGGUUAGUGAGGCUGGGUUCUUUGUUCUUGACUUUAUUCACCAAGCCAUGGAGAUGAUUAACGUGAUUAGACAAAGACGUAUGACUUCUCAAAGUCACCAAAAGUCUUAUGCAUAUUUGAGGCGAAGAGAAUUGAAGAUCUAAGUGAAUGGUUAGGUAUUCUUGAAGGUGUCUCAUAUGAAAGGAUUCAUAAAAUUUGAGGAAAAGGGGAAGCUCAUUCCCCAUUACGUUAGUCCAUACCAAUUUUUUUAGGAGAGUUGAGAAUAUUGCAUAUGACUUGAACUUACCUUCGAGUUCGGGUUCUAUUCAUCCCGUGUUUCAUGUGCAUAUGCUGAAAAAAUGUGUGGGUGAUCCUUCCUUGAUAAUAUGUGUUGAGGAUGUUGGUGUUACGAAUUCUUUUACUUGUGUAUCUGACAGGAAAGUUCAUAGGUUGAGUUCCAAGGAUGUAGCUUUAGUGAAGAUUCAUUGGAUAAACCAAAAUUUUGAAGAGGCUGCAUAGGAAGCUGAUUAAGAUAUGAAGGCCAAGUAUCCAUUCUUCUUCUUCGAGAUGGACAAAAGUGCUUAUGGUGUGAGUUUUAUUUUUCUCUUGUUACCUUACAAGUUUUUCAUUUGAUUUUGAUGUAUUCUAGUUAUUAUCGUGGUAAAUAUUGUCCUAACUUAUUAUACGAGAACGAAUGAUCAUAAGGGGGGGAUAAUGAAAGACCUUUAAAAUUUCAAUAAUUUUAUUUUUGACCCUUCCUUAUUCGUUAUAUCAAUUUUUGACUUGUAUUGUAUUUAGGGGUGUUAAAAGGGUGCUUGGUGAAAGUUUCAAAUUGUAAGGGGUUUGGGUCAUUUUGGGACCUCGAGGCAGUGAGGAUCCGUGUUAUGACCGUUUCACGAAGGCUACUCUCAGUGAUAUCGGCGUGGCAUAGAGGAUAGUCUUCGUGAUAAUGGCGUGCCAUACCAAGGUGAAAAUUCAUGCAAUUUUAUUUUUUAGUUUCUUGGGAUUAGGGGAUUUCGGCCUUUUUACCCCUUUUAUGACUUUUAAAAAUAAAAUAAUCCCAGUCCCAUCAAUUUUAAAAGAUCAAAUACCCUUAUUUCACUCUCAAACAUAAAACCUACUAGAUGUAGUUUUGAUUAUGAGCAGCUGACUACAAGGGACCAGGUCCCUAGAUAUGCAAGAUACAGUACAAUUGGAACGCAUUGUCUGUACAUCUUUGUCCUCUUAGGUAACAAACUUCCAGGUUCUAUUUCAUACUGAUUUGGACAGUUGGUCCAAUGAUCUUUCAGCGCUAGUCAUCACUCAUCUAUAAAAGAAAAGAAAUGCCUUUUCAUCAAUUGAUUUUUGCAAAUUCAAAAAGUAAGGAAAUACAGCAAAAACUUUAUUUCAAGAUUACUCAGGCAUUACUCAUGUUCUAAUCUUUGUAUUUUGCUUAAUAAGUGAGUGAGUGUUCUUGAGUGAAUAAUGAUUUUUAACUGAAGUACUCAUGUUAUAAGAGUAGUGUCCUAUUUUUUUGAAAGAGGGGCUUAGGUAGAGUUGCCUAUGCUCAUGACUGAUUAGAGUUAUUCAGUAAAGAGGGUCCUUGGUAGAGUUACCAAGAUGAGAUUGUAGUAGAGUUGCUACAAGCGAAAGGAGCCUAGAGGCAGGCUAAAUUCUAGAAUGUAAUCAGGUGGUUGAUUAUGGUGUAUUUCUUUGGUGCUUGUAAGGGAAAUUCAUGGUUUUUCCCUUCCUGGUUUUCCACAUAAAUUUCUUAUGUUAUCAAUCUUCAUUCACUCUCUUUAGUUCUCUUGCACUUUCUUGUUAGUAUGCCUAUGAUUGACUUUGACGGACCUGGUCCCUCAUGGUGUGGUGCAACCCCCAAGGGUACAAACAAAUGGUAUUAGAGGGAGGUCACUAUAAAAGGUUCACACCUAGAGUGUCUUGGUCAGCAUGACUGCUCUAAAAUAUCUAUUUAAAUAUUUGGAGAGUUAGAUUUUAAGUAAAUUCCUCUAACUCUCCAAAUAUCUAAAAUUCAAGAGUAGGUUACUAAGUUAAAAUCUGAAAAUUCAAGCUUAGUUAAUCAACUGGAGAAAUAUAAUAGUGCCUGGGAUAAAGAUAAAAAUAAUGCACUAGAAUAAUAGAUAGAAGAUCAAGAGAUUGAGUUGAUAGCUUUGACUCUACAUAUAUUAGAAAUUGAGUAAUGGGUUGCUAAGCUAAAACUUGAAAAUCUAUGUUUGGUAAGUUAACUGGAGAAAGUAGAUGUUUCUGUGUGUAAAGGGAAGAAAUAAGUCUCAAAAUUUUAGGUUGAGCUUAAAUAAAAACUGGAGGUUUCCCAAAGGAUUCUCAUGAUUGCACUUCACAAGAAUGAGGUGUUAGAAAAAAACCUGGUUCGUCUAAGGGAAAAACUUAAAAAAAUCCCAAAAAUGGACUCAAUAUUCUUAGAUCCUUUCAAACUUGACUAAUCGAGAAGUUAAUAAUGGUAAGGGCCUUGGGUAUCAGCACAAAACUCAUUCAUCUGGGUCACAAGGAAAGAUUGAUCAAACUGUAAAAAAACAAAGCAUGUAUAUCCUUGUGCACUCACAACAGAAGAGAUGACAUCUGAAAGAAGAAUGUCUAAGCUGGCUCAGAGCAAGAAUAACAAUUGUUAGACAUGUACACCAGGGGAGCACCUUUUAUAAAGGUGUAAGACCUUGGAAAAACAUGAAGAAUUGCAUACUACCUAGAUGGAAAAUAAGGUAUAUAAUCACACCUUAGUCCUCUUACUGGAAACUCAAACUCAAAUGAGUUCCCAAGUCUAACAAAAAAUGUAUGUUCAGGAGAGAGAAAGCAUUUGCUAAUAGAAAAACCUUCCUGUUAUGUAAUUGCUAAAGACUAAAUGAAAUGUAUGAUUAUAUUCUAUUUCUCGAGACACUUCAAGGUGAGGUGUCUUAUGUGAUUCACACUUAUAUCCCAAGAAUGAGAUCACAAAUAUGUGAAAGAAAAUGGCAAGUUCAAAGCAAUGCAUGAGUAACUCUGGAAACUUGAAUAAUUCUAAGUUUAGAACCUGGUCCUCAGACCUAUUUCUAGAAUAAUUCAUGAUAUAAUAUGGUGUAAUAAAUCUAACAAGCUAAUGUUAGGAUUGAUCAAAUAAGCCUAACCUAUAAUUAAGUGAAUCAGUUUCUCUUCACAAAAUUGGCUAGGUUUAGGAGGCAGCUAUCCUUGGUAUACUAGGUACAUAUUGGUCUAACUCAGUACCAUACCCUUGUAGGGAUACACCUAUGGGAGAAACUUCGGAGGUGGAUAGAUAUGACAAGCACAAAUUUGGAGAUUCACUUAAACUAGAUAAGGACAUGGUCCCAUCUCUCAGGUUAGUAUCUUGUAUGUGCAAAUUUUGUCUGUUCUGCCAAGAAAAAUCUGCAUCCCCCUGUCCUUUUGUCAUAAAAAAUUUGUCAUAUUUUAAAAGGAAUGAGUAACCUAUAAUAUGAUAUUGAUCAUAUCUUGUUUCCCCAGAAUACCUUUCCUUGUGCUCAUUAUUCUUUAAAUCUUGCUGCACCAACUCCUUCUUGUAUCAAAAAGGAAAACCAAAAUUCGAAAUAGCCUUUCAAAGAAAGUACCUUCUUGAUGGUUGCAGCUCUCCCAGUCUCUUGUCAUUCAAAGGAUUCUAAGCUUAGCAUUGUGAAAAAUCACUUUCCAAAUGCUCCUAAAAAACAUCCUUUUUAUCCUUCUCUUUCAAAGGUUAACUCCUUCAUCACUCAACCUGUCAAUGAAGAAUCAUCCCUAAAUCUUCAAAACUAUCCUGAUGAUGUUGUGAUGGAUGAAACAUGGGCUGCUGAAAAAUCUCAUCUUAUUGUCAAAUAGCUUAGGAAAGAUCAUAGUUGAUUAUAAGAAACUUGAUUUCAGUAAAAUACCAAAAAUUUCUGGAAAAUAUUCUAGAAGUUUUAUUGAGUAGCAACUGACUCUUUAGGGACCUAGUCCUAAGAAGAGAAAAGUAUGUGAAAGAUAAUCUGCGAUCACUUAUACUAGAUGAAAGAAUCAAGCAAAAAAUGAGGUUGUGUCCAAGGAAGAAAUAAACACGUUGUUGAAGAAUCAAAAGGUGUUAACUAGAAGGAUUUUUGAUUCCAAUAUGCUAACAAAGCCUGGUAAGGUUGAAUUAGUUGAGUUUGUUUAACAUCAAGGUUGGAUGUAUGAAAUGGAAGGACCUAUUCCAACUAUUUUUUAUGAGAUAGUCACAGAAUCUAUUUCACUUUGGAAUUCUUAGAAGAUGGGAUGAAUUUGACUGCACAAGUCCAAGGAAAAAAAAUUAAGCUAAAUGAGGAAACACUGGGGAGGAUUUUGGAAGUUCCUAUAUAUGGGGUGAGAAAUUCCUCCAAGAUGCUACCUUAAAUAGAAUUCUUAGCAAAUGCAUCCAAAAUAAAAGGAAAAUUCAUGGCUACAGUGAAUAGGAAAUCAUUCAAAAGUAAGUUUCAAUUGAUCUUUGACUUUGUGAAUAAGGUUAUUCUGCCUAGCUAACCAAAGAAAAGCAAUGCCUCAUCCACUGAUUUGUAUGUAAUGGAAUGAAUGAUUAGCUUUAAAUUCAUUAAUCUACCUGCAUUGAUGAUAAAACACAUUCACAAAGUUGUUCUUGGGAAAAAUUGAAAGAAUGGUAUUCCUUAUAGAUUUUGGCUGAACAAAGUACUUAAUCGUUAUGGCAUUGUCAGUGAUUUUGGAACCCAAAGAUAUAUGGUUCAAAUGCUUGAUAUGAAAACAUUGGUCAGGACUGAAUGUCUCAAACCAUGUAGAAUUUAUUAAAGAGAGAGCUUAACAAGGAAAUAAAGGAACUAAAGUUCAACCUAGCUACCAAAGAUGAAGAAAUCAGCAAGCUCCGGGUUCCAAUUCAGCAUUUCUCAAAAAGGAGCCCAUGUGACACAGAAAUACUAAAAAAUAAGAAUUCCAAACUGAAGAAGAAGGUGUCAUUAUUAACUGAUUAGGUCCUUAGUUUGAAUGGAGAGAUAAGGCAUCUCAACAAUAACCUAACCCUACUCCUUUAAAAUCCUUUUCCUAGUCCUUCACUUGUUAACCCUUCUUUAUUCCUGUGGUUUCUUUUUUGUGGCUUUUUCCCUACGAACAUUUAAUUUAUGCACUGCAAUAAUACUUCUCCUACUUAUGAAUGAAUCUUUACUUUGUUUGUUACAUUUGUUCUCUUUAAAUUGUAAAGUUAUUCCUCAUGUUAGUGUUUCCCGGUGGCUAUGAGUUAACUAAUUUGUGCUUAAUUUAGUCUUGGUUUACUUUUAUCACUUUUCAAUGAUGCCAAGGAAAAAUACUA